rnacentral:lncRNA from 1 species
UUUUUUCUCUUUUUUUUUUCUUCUUCUUUUUUUUCUCUUCUUUUCUUUUCUUUUUCCAAGGCGCCCUUUCGGGUUUUCACCUAAAGAACAAUGAGACGUCUCGACCAUGAUCGACUCAGAAAUAUGAGUUAAAGAUUUCGGGCAUCAGUAAAAUGCACUUCCCUUGUAAGAUUAGGCGAAGGCAUUAUGGACAUCACUUGCCAGGAAAGCCAGGACUUUGGGCUUUGUAAUGAGGUCAGGUGGGGUGUUUUUCAAGAAAAGUUGAGGCUUGAAAGCAAAUUUGAUGUGAGGUGUGAAAUAAUUUGAGAUUGCACUAUUUUGAAAUCAUUUCCGAUUUUGAACGAAACCGAGGAAAAUUUGCCCCAGUUUGAUCGGAUUUUCACUCUUUGCAUUUUCUUCAUUGUAUUUUCCUCACUUUUGCAUUUUUCUUUAAAAACUAAAUUUACCCCAGUGUGGGGUUCUCUUUUCUUUUGAUCACCUCUCUUUCAAAAUAAUUUUGCCCCAGUGUGGGGUUUGUAAUUCUCAGGGGUUAUCAAACGAAAAUUUGUCAAUUCUGAUGGCUCAAAGGGGACAAGUAGGGAUAAAAUGUUUUAAGCGUAAAAGAAGAUGGCCUAACUUGCAUUUCGCCAUUUGUAUGAAUUUCUAAAGAAAAUUUGCAUGAUCAAAUGAAAAACUUCUUGCACAUGUCUGAGUUGAUGGGUUGAGGGAAUGUCCGUCCAUCCAUUUCUGCCAAGAUAAGUGCUCCGCUAGGUAAUAUCUUUUGGACAAUGAACGGCCCUUCCCAAUUUGGAGCAAAUUUGCCUUUAGCUUCAUCUUGCAUUGGCAAAAUUCGCUUUAGAACUUUGUCACCUUCUUCGAAUGCACGCCGAUGGACUUUUUUGUUGUAAGUCCGGGCCACACGUUUCUGAUAGCAUUGACCAUGACAGAUAGCAUUGAACCGCUUUUCAUCGAUCAAAGUCAAUUGCUCAUGGCGCUGCUUUAUCCAAUCAGCCUCCUCCAAUUUAGCCUCCAUCAGGAUUCGCAGCGAAGGAAUUUCAACUUCAGCUGGUAAUACAGCUUCCAUUCCAUACAUGAGUGAAUAUGGCGUUGCCCCAGUCGAUGUCCGGAUAGAAGUCCGAUACGCCAUUAAUGCAUAAGGCAACUUUUCAUGCCAAUCGUGAUUCCUUUCAGUCAUUUUACGGAUAAUCUUCUUCAAAUUCUUAUUUGCGGCUUCUACAGCUCCAUUCAUCUGAGGCCUAUAAAUGGCAGAGUUGCGGUGUUUGAUCUUGAACUGCUCGCAUAAUCCAUCUACCAUGUCAUUGUUCAGAUUCUUGGCAUUAUCUGUAAUAAGCGUUUCGGGUACCCCAAAGCGACAGAUGAUGUGAUCUCUCAAGAAAUUGGCAACCACCUUCUUCGUUACAUGUUUGAAUGACUUCGCUUCAACCCAUUUGGUAAAGUACUCAAUUGCCACCAAUAUAAAUCGAUGUCCAUUCGAGGCGGGAGGAUCAAUUGUACCAAUCACGUCCAUGCCCCACAUUGAACAGGGCCAUGGGACGAUCAUACUAUGCAAUUCAAUGGGUGGAGCGCGUAUAACGUCACCAUGCAUUUGACAUUUUAUACAUCUCCGGACAAAAUCUAUACAAUCACGCUCCAUAGUAAGCCAGAAAUAUCGGGUUCUCAUGAUUUUCUUUGCUAGCAAAUGGCCAUUCAUGUGAGAUCCACAAACGCCACUAUGCACUUCUUUCAUCAUAUAUUGAGCUUCGUCUUCAUCAAUGCACCUUAAAAGGUUCAAAUCUGAGGUUCUUUUAUACAAAACUUCUCCACUCAAGAAAAAUUUUGAAACCAUUCUACGCAGAAAACUCUUGUCCUUUGUACUAGCAUGCAGAGGGUAAGACCCAGUUUUGAGAAACUCCUUAAUAUCAUUAUACCAAGAAAUAUUGUCAGAGGACUUGUCUACAACCCAACAGUGGGCAGGCUUGUCUUGAAGUUGAAUCUGAAUAGGUUCGAUCCCCAAUUCAUCUGGAUACUGGAUCAUAGAGGCUAAGGUGGCCAAAGCAUCAGCAAAUGCAUUUCGGGCUCGCGGGAGAUGUCUGAACUCCAAAUUUUGAAAUUGCUUAGCCAGAGUGAGCAAACUACAAUGGUAGGGCAAAAUUUUUGAAUGUUUGGUUAUCCACUGCUUCAAGGUUUGGUGCACAAGCAAAUCUGAAUCACUGAAAGCUAUCAACUCUUUGAUUUCCAUUUCUAAAGCCAUUUUGAGACAAAAAAUGCAGGCUUCAUAUUCAGCCAUGUUGUUUGUGCAAGCAAAUUGCAAUUUGGCAGCAGCAGGGUAGUGCUUCCCUUCGGGUGAAACCAAAACAGUUCCAAUUCCAGCUCCGAGAGAAUUCGAACCUCCAUCGAAGAAAAGCCUCCAUUCAGGGCUUUGCUCACCUAUAUCGUCCGUGGCGCCUACAAAUAAGACUUUCUCAUCAGGGAAAUAAGUAUGAAGUGGUUGAUAAUCAUCAUCCCUUGGGUUUUCUGCCAAAUGAUCAGCUAUAGCCUGCCCCUUGACAGCCUUCUGUGAAGUGAAAACAAUAUCGAACUCUGAGAGAAUUAUCUGUCAUUUAGCUAGACGUCCAGUUAGCAUCGGCUUCUCCAAGAGAUACUUCAAAGGAUCAGAUCGGGAAAUAAGAUAAGUGGUAUGGCUCAACAGGUAGUGUCUCAGCUUUUGAGCUGCCCAGGCCAAUGCACAGCAGCUCUUCUCAAUGAAUGAAUAAUUAGCCUCAUACUGCGUGAAUUUCUUGCUUAGAUAGUAAAUGGCUUGCUCCUUCCUUCCGGAGUCAUCAUGCUACCCGAUGACACAACCUACUGCUCCGUCGAGCACAGAUAAGUACAUGAUCAAUGGUCGGCCCGGUUUGGGUGGCACUAAGACCUGGAGGCUGCAGCAAAUAAUCUUUAAUCUUGUCAAAAGCUUGUUGGCACUCCUCAUUCCAGUACAACGGCACAUUCUUUCUCAACAAUUUGAACAGCGGCUCGCAUGUGGCAGUUAACUGGGCAAUGAAUCUCCCAAUAAAAUUAAUCUUUCCUAAGAAAAUUUUCACGUCCUUCUGAAAUUUCGGCACUGGCAUAUCUCGAAUUGCUUUGAUUUUUGCUGGAUCUAUCUCUAUACCUCUUUUACUAACAAUGAAGCCCAACAAUUUACCAGCUGGUGCCCCAAAGGCGCACUUUGCAGGAUUUAGUUUCAAAUUGUACUUUCGCAUCCUUUCGAACAGCUUCUUCAAAUCCACCAAGUGGUCUUCUGCUCUUUUAGACUUGAUUAUGAUGUCAUCCACGUAGACCUCCAUCUCCCGGUGGAUCAUAUCUUGAAAUAGGGUGGUCAUGGUUCUUUGAUAAGUAGCUCCGGCAUUCUUUAAACCAAAUGGCAUCACUCGGUAGCAAAAUGUGCCCCAAGGGGUGAUAAAAGCAGUCUUCUCCCUAUCUUCUUCUGCCAUCAAAAUCUGGUGAUAUCCGGCGAAGCAAUCACAAAAGGAUUCAAUCUCAUGCCCAGCGGUAUUGUCCAGGAGAAUGUGAAUAUUUGGCAGAGGAAAAUCAUCUUUAGGACUGGCCUUAUUGAGGUCUUUAUAAUCAACACAAACUCGCACCUCUCCAUUCUUUUUUGGAACAGGGACUGGAUUCAAAAGCCAAAUAGGGUAAUGAGAAACAAUGAUAAUAUUGGUUUUGAGCUGUUUUUCAAUUUGCUCUUUUAUUUUGAGACUCAUAUCGGGUUUGAAUUUUCGGGGUUUUUGUUUUACGAGUGGAAAAGUAGGGUCUGUGAGCAAUUUAUGCACUACCACAUCAGUUGAAAUACCAUUCAUGUCAUCAUAGGACCAUGCGAAUACAUCCUGGAACAUAGUCAAAAAUUCAAGCAUCUCUUUUUUCUGCCCCUCAUUCAAAUGAAUACUAAUUUGCACCUCCUUAACUUCAUCUUUAGUGCCAAUGUUAACCUUUUCUGUUUCUUCCAGGUUCGGUUUUGGUUUCUCCUCAUAUUGUUCAAAAUCCUUUGCAAAAGAAUCGAAUACCUCCUCAUUAUCACUCUCGCUUUGGGGUUCGGAUUCCCAGACCUCCAAGUCGUGAGUGAUAUAGAGAUUGUCAUUAUUGAAUUCCAGAAUAGUGAUAUCCAAAGGGUCAAAUAGUUUUAUUUUUGGCCAUCUGAAAGAAUUAACGAAUGUGGGAUAAUAAGCAAACAAAUAUACAACAAAUAAAUGAACAAGCAAUAUGACAGAAAUAUAAACAAACGAAUAAACAAAACAACAUGACAAGAACAACUUGUGCAUUUUCAUAAAACAUUUGAUUGAAAGCGAAAACAAAAGAAAGCAAGCGGAAACGAAAUGAAAACUUAACAAUAUUUUCACGUGCAAACUUUAGUCAAAGGUAAAGAUGCUUUCAUUAGCUAUUUACAGAUGCAGAAGUUUUUUCAUGAAUUCGCAUGAAUGACAACCCCUUUAGCUUUACCGAAACUCCUUCUGAACGGGCAGAAACUCGGCUGUCCAAUUGGAAAUUGAUCCUUCAGGGAUGUCGGGAAACUCGGCCUCAUCUGGGAAACUGUCUUCAAAUGUUGCCCCCACGAACAAUUGGGCCAAACCAGUUUCGAUUCCGUCAACUGGAUUAAUCUCUGAUGUGAUCACCUCGGUUGGUCGUGGAAAAGUAUAAUGCAGUGGUGGAAUAUCAAGGGCCUCUGGCCUGCCUUCUUUCUCUGCUCUCUUGUGUUCCUUCAUUUCUUUGAUAUCUUUAGCGGUUGGUCGGAAACCCAAACCGAAUGAAUCCUUUUUUCUCCACAACUUCCACUGGCUUCAGAAUUCCUUGCAGAUCACGUCCCAACCCUUUGUCAAACUCAUAUCCUCCGCGGAUCAUUUCCUUAGCCAUCAUGACACUGGCCUUUGACAGAGCUCGUUCCUCUCUUGUUAUCCAACUUAUGGAGACGAUAUCAGCUGUGCUAUGAGGGGUCACUGUGGCGUUUCGACUACCAUCUUCUUCGGAUCCAGAAUCAGCAAUUACGAAGCAAUCCUCCUCGGCAAAGAUAGUUAUCAAUUUGUCAUUUACUAUGAAUUCCAACAAUUGAUGCAAUGAAGAGGGCACAGCUCCGGACUUAUGAAUUCACGGCCUUCCAAGCAAAACAUUGUAAACACUAGAAAAAUGCAUGACUUGGCAAGCUAUUCGAAACUGUGCGGGCCCCAUCUCGAUGACUAAAUCCACUUCUGCUAUAGGUUCUCUUUGUGCUCCAUCAAAACCUCUUACUAUGGUCCCUGAAGAUCUCAACUUGAUAUCUUGCAACCCUAGCUUUUCCAAGGUACUCCAAGGACAGAUAUUAAACGCAGAUCCAUUGUCAAUCAACACCUUUGGCAACAUUUUCCCAUUGCACCUCACAGCUAUGUACAGAGCCUUGUUAUGUCCAAUACCUUCUGCUGGUAAUUCAUCAUCGGAGAAAGUGAUUUGCUUUGUAGAUAAUACAUUUCCAACUAUAUGAGAGAAAUUAGCAACCGAAAUGUCCUUAGGGAUUUGAGCUUUAGUCAACACUUCGAGCAACGCAACCCUAUGCACAUCCGAAGAAAAAAGCAGAUCCAACAUGGAUAUUUGGGCGGGCGACUUGCUUAGCUUCUCGACUACGUUAUAUUCGCUUCUUUGCAGCCUUUUAAGAAAAUCCAAGGCUUCUUUCUCAGUAAUUGUUGGUUUAGCGGGCUGCUCGGGGCUGUUUGUUUGAAUCGGAACAGUAGCUCCAAGCGGACUUGCAAUCCUCCCUGAUCUAGUGACCACUGACACCUCCUCUUUGGCAACUGGUUUUCCUCUAAUUUGUAUGACAGAUUCAUUGUAAUUCCAUGGCACUUGCUGCAAACUUAGAACAGGCUCCUGCCCUGGGAAUUCGAUGACUACUGGCUCCAAAGCCUCGCUCUCAGCUGGAGUGAGAUCCAAAAUAAAAGGUCUUUUAUCCUCCUCAAACGGUUCAUCUUCUAUUAUGAAUGGUCGGUCUGUGACCCCAAACACCUCAGCUUCCCUUGCCAAUUUUUGGGCUAGCUCGUCAUACUCUGCGUCGUCCAGAAUGACCCCAAUGGUAUUAGCAUGUUCCGGCAAGGGGUUCCUAUUUAUAUUCGACCCUUGUGCCUCCCUUUUCCUAAUUACAAUCUUUCCAGCUUCAAUCAUAUCUUGAACUUUAUGCUUAAGAGCCUUGCAAUCCAAAGUUGAAUGUCCGGGUGCCCCUGAAUGAUAAGCACAGACAGCUUGCGAGUUAUACCAAGCGGGCAUGCCAUAUGGAUAGGUAGAAGGGGGUACCAUACCAAUUUUCCCGGCGGCCUUUAACUGGUCAUACAAUUGGUCUAGAGGCCUGUCUAAAUUGGUAAAUGUACGGCUAGGGGGUCGAUUGUAAGGUUCAGGAGGUUGAGGAUGGUUGUAAACAUGUCUAUUUGGGGGAGAAAAUCUUGGGUUAUAUGGAGGGCGAGGUCGGUUUUGGGGCGGAUUUGGUUGAGAAAUUUGAAAAGGAGCUAAAGGUGGGUUAGGAUAGCUUGGGCGAGGUUGAGAGUGGUGGAUAUUGGUAGUAUAUAUAUGGUGCGGGUUUGAAUAAUAAGGGUAAUGUGAUUGGUAAGUUGGAUUGUGUUGGUAUCGGGGUUUGGGUGAAGGAUUCUGGUUCCAGAUAAAAGUUGCAUCCCCCUCUUUCUUUUUAAACUGCGAUUUCUUUCCACUACUUCCUUGCCCUUGCAAAGCUUCUAAUUGUGAUUUUAAGGCAGAAACGUUGACAAUUUUUCCGGCUCUCACAAAAUCAUCAUACUCUUCGAGUUUGUUCACAAUCGCAGCGAAUGUACACCCAGUCAUAUGAAAGAUUUCUUCAAAGUAUGGAGGAUCAUGCGCCUUUAUGAAAGUGCGAAUAAUUUCAUCUUCGGUCAUCGGAGGCUCGACCUUGGCAGCUAUCUUUCUCCACCUUUUGGCGUAUGUCUUAUGAUCUUCAGAUGGUCGCCUCUUGGUGCCUUCCAAAAUAGUUCUGGUCGGUGCUAGCUCACAGUUAUAUUCGUACUGUCUGAUGAAGGCGUUGGACAGAUCAAGCCAAGUCUUCACCUCCUCCGGCUUUAAGUUUGAAUACCAAUCAAGGGCGUCUCCUUCUAGACUCUCUGGAAAUAACCUUAAUGGUAAGUUUUCGUCAUCCACCGGCUUGCCCAACUUGUUGGCAAACAAACGCAAGUGUGUCUUAGGAUUGCCAGUACCAUCAUAUUUAUUGAACUUCGGGGUCUUGAAUCCCACGGGCAGCUGUACAUUUGGAAACAGGCACAGAUCAUCGUAGUCUAACACCCCCUGCUUGCUUAAACCUUGGCUUUUCCGGAUGAACUCAUCGAAACGAUCCAACCGCUUAAGUAACUUCAGAUCAAUCGGGGCAGAUAACUCCCCCACUUCUGGCUUGGUUUGAACAGUGUUGUCCGGCACAACAGGCUCUGCAAUAGUCUGAUAAAAAGCUUGUGGAUCCGGAGGCAUGUUUGGACCACCUUGACCACCUUGAGGCUGAAAUCCUUGCCCAUAGGGAGGAUAGAACGGAAGAUUUUGAGUGUAAGUAUACUGCCGGUUGAAAACUCCCUCAAAAGUGGUUUGAAUUGGAGGGAUGACAAAUGGUUCGGAUUCCGGUUGUUUGACGGGCGGAGGCUCGGGUUGCACUCCGCUACUAAUGAGUUCGUCGAUCAACUUCUUUUGGGUGGCCAUUUCAGAUGCCAUUUCCCCAAAUUUGGUGAGUAAUUCAGUCAACUGAACCCCGGGACUUGCGGCUUCCGGCUGGGUAGUUGCAGUGGUCUUAUCAGACGAUUCUGGCUGAGUACUCAUGUCUACACGAUUCCUUUGGGCUUUACUACGGGAUCGCGUUAUGAUGGGGCUUUGACGAGAAGCUAUGUUUAAAUAUUACCUAAAAAUACGAAAUGACGUGCUUUUAGAUUUAGCCCUGAUUUAGCCUUUUUAACAAAAAUAAAACAAAGGAAAAGAAAAAGACAAGAGUUAGUAGAUGUUCCAAAAAUUCGGAUGCAUGUCCUAUUGGGGGGCCCUUUUUGUGCCAAGGGUAGGCCUAGCAUGAUGCAACACCUUCGAAAUGGGACCCGUACAGACCUGUUUUUGACAACAAUUCUAAAUAAGUGCAGAAGAGAAAUCGCUUUCAUUGAUAAACUUGCCAAUAUUUACAUCAUGUUACGAAAACGACUCCGUACAAAAUUGCCAAAACUUCUGAACCUAUCUAAUACAGAGUCCUUUGUUUCCCUAGCAUAUGGAAUUCUAACACGUUCAGCUUGGUCAUAUAAUUCUCCGCAUUUCCUUUUCAGCUCUUGACGCUUUUCUCGUUCAUUUUCAUACAAUUACUUGUUUUGCUCCGCCAUCCCUUUGUAUGCUUCGACAGACUUACUUAACUGCAGAAUUUCCUUAUCUUUUGCUUCGACAAUGGCCUUCAACCUUUUCACCUCCUCAGAUGGCUCAUCUUGAAUUUCUUGCGCAGCGGAUCCUCUUACCCAGUCUUCGUAUUGUGUAGUUGUCAAACCCUUUUGCUUGAGUUCCGGGAGGUAUUGAAAUCUCUCGUCAUCCGACAGUGUCACCCAUGCCUCGAUAAUCUAGUCUUUCAUAGGGAGCUCGUUUGGGCACAUUCCUUUACUGAAAACGGCAGUAAGCUUACUCAUAUCAACCACAGGCGGCACUUCUUGUAUACGUCUUAACUGUCUGAGGAACCUCUUUGGAGUGUAUGCGGCGAUUCCUUGGGUACCCAAUAGGAGAACAAAAUCUGACACUUUAGUGCGGAGUAUCGGCCUAAGGCAAAUCGUCCAGUCUAACACCCACCUAAUGUCUUCAUCUGGCAACAUCUCUAAGUAUUUGACACAUUCAACCGCAUCAUUCGGCAGACCCCUUCGUUGACUCGCUUAUGAUGCGUGAUUACCCAGUUGUACCCAACUACUGGCAAACUUUCCGGAACGGAUGCUCGUCUCUUAAAAUGUUCUAAGGCCCAGAUAUGUAAAACUAUAUGAGCCCCGUAGAAGAACUUUUCCCCUUUCUGGCAAUUGGUACAAGCUAGAAAAAUGUCCGCAAGGAUGGUCGGGAUUAUGGUGCAUUGUUUACUUCGGAUUCCUGAAAAGAGGUCUUGUAUAACCUUUGCUAUCUUGAAAGCUAUUUUCUGAUCUCUUCUCGGGAAGAAAUAAACUCCCGCCAUAACUAUUGCAUACACCACUGGCCUUUUGCAUUCCCAAACAUCCUUGGAUGUGAAUGAAAAAUCCUCCCUAUAUCUCUCGAACCCAUUUCGUAGUGCAAAAUGCUCAAACAAAGUGUUCACGGGGACUGCCUGAUCCGACCCUCGCAAUACAGCCUCUCUCAAUCCUGUGAUCUUGCAAAAUUCUAUCUUGUCUGAAACGUAUGGGAAAAUCAAGGCGGUUCCAUGCAAUGGUAAAUUGAAGAGGCCGGCGAUUUCCUCAAGUGUCACUGUCAGGUGCUUAUUGCCUACCCUAAAGGCCGAACAUUCCGGAUCCCACAGAUGUACUAAUGCCUCCACUAGAUAGCCAUUGGGCUUGAUCUCCUUAAGGUCUCCAAUUGGCCCUAAGUAUUGAGCUACUUGAUGUAAUUCGCUAGGUAGCAUAAGGGCAGGCCAUCUUUGAAUCUCGGCCGACGGCACCAACAACUGGUAGAUUCGACGGGGGCACUCCAUCUAAAAAUGGAAGAGGCGGGUUGUCAAUUACCUUACCUACGAGUCCCAUUCUCCGGUUGGCAAGAAUUUAAACGUGCAAUCCCUUGAAGGGUUAUGUACCCAUGGGAACAAACAAGGUGAGUUCAAUCCUAAUAGCGGGAUCCCCUAAAUGGCAUUCCCCUUCUAGGGUUUAUGCAUGAUGCCAGUUUAUUAAAAUAGUAAAAUACGCAAUUUGAAAUGAAACAUGACCUAAGGGACCCUUUAUUUGCCAGGAUAAGUCUAAAAUGAAAUGUAUUCAUGUUACGCAUGUGAAGCACUGAAUUUAAACGUGUCCAUCAAAUGGGGUAGGCUCCUAGAGAGUGUGCCAUGCCAGGACUCUUAUUUUCUAGGGCUAAUGAGUGCAAUGGAGACAAAAAUCAAGAAAUGUUAGUUCAAUCACAUAAAUACACAUAACACAUUGUAGUGAAACAAUACAAAGAGAUAAAGCAAUAAAAGAAAAAGGGGUUGGAUCCCUCCCCUUGUGAAUAGUGUCCCUAAUUCAGGAUAAGGCCGACUCUUUCCUAGGCAAGCUAUCAUGGAUGCAUUAGGUAUUGGCUCACUAAUGCAUCUAGAUUCGAUAGGUUUUAGGUCCCCGAGCCUUCAGACUUGGAAACCAAGGGUUAUCAAUUCUAAGGUUCUUUGUCGGUGGCUCGAGCGAUUCCCCAAACAUUGCUACGCACACAUCGUGUCACGGCUACAUGUCAUGAGUGAAUCUAUCAAAAAUCCUCAAUCUUCAAUUAAAAGUUAGAGGUUAUGAACCCAAAGCUUAAAAUGGAAGAUUGAGUGACUUCUCGGAUCAUGCUACGCACACAUCGUGUCGCGAUCACAAGUCCAAGUGAGUCGCCUAAAAUCCUAAUAGGGUGGAUUGGCAUGACAAGCCACUAAAAGAAAAAUAAAAGAGGGGUGAAAAAUUAAAGCGUAUGCACGUAUGCUAGUGCUCGUUUGGAGGGGAGGGAUCGAGAACCAAAGCGCGAGAAUCUAGGGUAAUGUCUCCCCACCCCAAAUGCAAUGCAAAGCGCGGAAUAAAUCAAGUACAACAUACAUCCAAAACAACCCAAUCAUACAUACGUGAGUGAGGGAAUAGUUUGAUACGCGCGCGAGGCAAAAAGUCCUAAAAUAGAAAAUGCAACCCUAAUAUCCAAAUGCUAUGCAUAAAAAGGGUAGAAAAGGAAAAAAAUGGCCAAAUCAAAUGCUUGGACCCACUUAGAAACUCCCCAGUGGAGUCGCCAACUGUCGUGCCCCACUUUUUGAUGGCGUGUGAAUGUAGUGUGUGAGAUAUGUAUGUGAACGUGUGUAAAAAUGAAGAUAAAAGGCCGUGGGACUUGAAAAUGCGACGAUUCGGCCAAACAAAGUUCAAAAAGGGUUUUUGAAUGGAAAAUAGAGUCGCCACUUGGUAUAGAGUUAUGGUGUACCAAGUCACCCAAAAAGUGAUUUUUGAAAAGAAAAGUAAACAAACCCUUUUUGAAGAAUUUUUUUAGGUCUACGUAACCAAAGCAAGGGAUCGGGGGUCACAUUUGAUAAGGGAGAAGGCAAAGGCAAAGCCUAAGGCACUCCCUUACCCUAGCCAAAGCUAGUUGCGUGACUUAGCCCCUCUUUUCCUAAUUUCUUCUACCCAAAGUAUGUGUUGCAUGUUGGAUAUGACUAAUGGAUAUGACAAAAAUGCAAUCCUAAAUCUAAAAUGUCUCUUAUGAGACUUUUUGGUCCCAACCACAUGAGUUGUGAUGGCCAAUAAGGAAAGUCCUCAUAGAGGUCGCGAAUGAUGCAAAUGAAGACUCAAAUAUGAAUGCAAGUGUGAAAAUGUAAGAAAACGUGCAUGUGUGCAAAUGUAAGACAAGUGCAUGUGUGCAAAUUGAGAAAAUAAAAGGUGUUUGUGUGCAAAUGGAUGAAAAUAUGACAGUAGAUACAUAUAAGUGCAAUUGGGUGCAAUUUGUGAGGUAGAAAAACAAGUGACAGGAAGAAAAAUGUGUGAACAUGGCAUUUGUAUUGAGAAGGAUAUAAGUAGUGAGAAAAUGUGGAUAAGAGGGUGAUGGAGUGACAUGAUGAGAAUGAAAAUGUAUGAACCUAUAGGAAUGCAUCAAGUCGGGUACGGGAAUGACUCCUAACUUUAUGACUUUAAUUUUCCCUUUGAUUAGAAGGAGGAACUAGCGUGCUAAGGCUAUUUUUGCAGCCACACUCGCUCGUUUCCCUUAUCGAAAGGGGAUACUCAAGCAAAUGUACCCUAUAACUAGCAUGAAUAUGCAAAAACCUAAAAUGAAGGGGAAAGGAUUGGAGGGCCAUGCCAAAUGCUAGAAAACUAAGAAAAAUGCAUGAAAUGUAGUGAAACAUGCAAGUAUGAACUAGCGAGGGAAAUCCCUAAGGGGCUAGCGUUGGACUAGCCCAUAUCUAUGAAUUCCUACUAGCGUUGGACUAGUGGAAGACGGGACAAUGAGCCACGACUAGCGUUGGACUAGUGUGGUGACGUGCCUUCAUCCAUCAUAUUCAUCUACGACUAUAGAAAGCAAGUAGACAUGCAAAUCAUCUAUGAACACGUAGCACAUAACACUUAGCAUGCUCGACUAAAUGCAAGAGCCUAAUAAAGCAAAUUAACACAUAACAACAAAGCAAGCAAUGAACCUAUUACAUUUGCUAACUAAAACAAAGGGGGGAAGGGGAAAAAUGAAUGAAAAUGCUUGCCAAGCCCUAUCUAUUACAAGCCAAGAGGUGUACACAUACCCCAUAAAAGAAUAACUUAAUAAAAGCAAAAGUAAAUGAAAUAAAUGAAAGGAAUUAAAGAAAGGCAAGGAAAGCAAAGUAGACAUGCAAUUCUCACUUAGCACGUUGAAUCACAUAGGAGAGACAAAAAGGGAUAAAAGAAGUUGUACCUCCUCCGUUUGUAAUGCUAAUAAGGUGAACAAGACUUAACUUGGGCUAUAGUCACCAAAGAAAGAGAUAACUUGGGCUGAAUCGAGGAAUGGAGAAAUGGCUCGGAUGAUUCGGUCAAACCUUCAAAAAAACGUCAAUGGAAGAGCGAUGAUGACGACGCAAAUCCCUCUUCGUCCUCGCGGCUGAAAACCUUCUGGUUUAGCUUUCCUUCAGCAGUCAACAACCCUCUUAACAAUCUUCCUUUUCUUUUCCGACUCCAAGCUUCCCGGAUUUCCUAGCCUUUUCUUCCUCACGCGUAGGUUUCUGACUUCUCCUCCCUUGUUUCCACCACUUCUUUUCUUUUCUAGCCGGCCUUCUCUCUGGUUUUUCUCAGUUGUUACCCCCAAAAGCCCUCUCAGCAGUUGUUUCUUUUCUCCUCUCUCUCUCAGACUUUAGCCCAGAUUUCUCUUCCCUUUCUUUUCCCUUUGAUGUUUUUCUAUCUCCCCCGAUCCUCUCCCUCCGUUGCGGCUGCCGUUUUUUCUUGUAUUUAUACCAGACAAACCCUCACCUCAAGGGUGAGGAUGGAAGAGGAGAUUUCUCUCCAACCCCAGGCCAUCCGAUGGGCAUGCGCGAUUGUCCUUGCAAGCUGCGUUUCCGCAGCUUGCAUGUAAAAUUUAUUUUUUAAAAAAAAAAAAGUUAACAAACUUGAUAAUAAAAUUAAGUAAAAAAAACAACAAUUUAAUUAACAUUGGAUAAAAAUAAACAAACUAGAAAUAAUAAACAGCAAAUUUGCAAUUUUUCAUUUUUCCUUUCUUUUUUCUUUAUUUUUUUCAUUUUUUCAUUUUUCCAAGAAAACAUUGAAUUUUAAAUCAAAACAAUUAAAACAUAAUUUUUGAAUGCUUUUCCUUUUUCCCAAGAAAUUCUAUGCUAAAGCUUAAAAAUAAAGCUUAAAAAUAAUAAAAUAAAAAACUAAAAACUAAAAACUAAAAGUGAAUAAACCUAGCACGACAAACAAUAAAAAAUAAAUGAAAUUACACUGAAAAUUUGGUGUCUACAAAGUACAUUUCUCAAGUAUAAAAAGAGAUGCCAUUAACCAAGGAAGUUAGGCAACCAAGAAGAAUCAUCAAAAGAUGAUUAAUCCUUUGGAAACUAAGAUUCAAGAUAAAGGUUUAAAGUUCAAAGAGACCUUAUAUACAACCAUGAAAUUAAACUUAAAAUGGACCCACAAUCUCAAAGGAAGGUGGAAAGUUCUUAAAAGAGUACUUUGUUUGAAACCAGAAAAUUUCCAGCUUGGUGUACACUAUUUGGAAAAAUCACAUCUCGAGUUCCGUAAGUCCAAAAAUUGAAAACUUUAUACCGUUGGAAACUAGACUCAAUGCACUAAAACUCUCUAGAAGACACUUUUUUCUAGAAUCCAAUUCAAAAUCAUUCAAAUCUUAGCUCAAAGUCACUGUUCCAGACAGGACAGAGCAAAACAGGCUUGCAAUUCAGUAAACUUUGAAAAUUUGGCAAAAUUCAUAAAAAUAGAAUCAGCCCUUGAAAUUUAUAUCACUAAUAUAACUCCAAAUUUAGUUUCAAAUGCAAUGAAUGGAACUCAAUUCGGACCUUUCUACACCAAGAUACAAUAGUUUUAAGAAAACUGAUUUUUGGAACCUGUUUCACGGAAUUUCUAGUUCUGAAGUACUUGACAGAGUUGUAAAAUCUGGUCAUAACUAAAGCUAUACAACUCAAAAUUUAGCAUGGUUUGCAGUGUUAGAAAACUAGAUUUAAAAUGAUAAAAAUCACUAGAAGGAACUGUCUUAAAAUUAGUUUUGCAAGAUAGAUGAAAAUGAGCUACAAACUGCAGCUAUGCUUGUUUCUCGGAUGAAAGCAGUGAGAAAAAUCAGUCAUUUUUGCUGGUUCACUACGGCUCAUAGAAAAUGAAUUAGGGGGUAGAUUUUAUACCGUUGGAAAGCCAUCGGAAUUUAGCCACAAACGGCACUUGGUUUCAACUGCCAGACAAAAAGUUAUGGGUCAAAACGUGGACACUAGUCUGGUUUCCUGAUCAGAAAAUUUUUCAGAUUUGCAACCUCACUUUCCCCUACUUUAACUCAACCAAUUGUAAUACUUUUUGGGAGAUAUUUAACACACAUAAACACCAACAUAUAACAAGCAUUAUAGCACCAAAAUAACAACAAAAUUCAAAAUUAACAUGAGGGAAUCAACUAGCAAAAUUUCGGACAGCAAGCCUCUUCCUUUCCUCAAGUUUUCUUUUCAACUUCCCAACCAAAACUAAGCCAUAAUUCAUCAAAACAAGCACCAAACAAACAAGUAGACACACAAUAAUCCUCAAGGCCUCUACCUAUGAAGCCACCUCAAGUCCUCUAUCUAGUGUCAAGGUUCUUUUGAACCCAUCAACAACCCAAUAAUUAACUAGAUAGAACUAACUAACUACUAUAAGUUGAGAGGAAAAAAUGAGAGUUUUGGAGAAUUACCUUGCUUCCAAGAGAUGAAAGCCAACCACUAGUGUAUAAGUUCUAAACCACCAAAGUUCCUUCCUCCUUCAAGUCACGCUUCAAGCUUGUGUAAUGAACCAAGAAAGAAGCAAGUUUGGAAUGUCUUCUUGGAGCAAAAGUGGAAGAAAUCUAGCUGAAAUUUUGUUGAGAAAGGAUGGAGGAAGGGCCGGCCAAGAGGGAAGAAGAAGGGAAGGGUUUGUGUGGUAGUUGGUGAAGUGACGAGGUGAAAGGAAGAAAUGACAUAAAAGUGCUUUGGUACCCAAAAAGUCAACAAAUGAAUAGGAGCCAUUUAGUGCUCUUAAUUGAGGUUAAUUUAACUCACUCAUCUCUAAUCGCACAAUUAACUUUUCUUAACCUACUAUUGAUCAUCCUUAAUUCUCCAAGAUUAUAGCACUCUCGGACCGAAUUUUGACUCGAAAAACGUGUAAUCGCUAUUUCUUACUAAACGAGCCGCAGAAAAAUUAAUUUUUAGUAGCGAAAUAUUUUAAAAUAUAAAAUGAGACAUUGAUCUAUGCAAAUGAAAUUAAAAUGAAUGAAAUAAAUUAAUUGGAGUAAACGAAUAAUUAAAUAAUUAAAUAAGCCAGUAAAAUAAAGUAAGUAAAAUAAGAAUUUGGGUCCUCACAUUAAAUGUCUUCUUUAUUUUCAAAUUUCGAAUAAAAGAAAAUGAACAUGAGUGAAAAACUAACAAUUUUUUUAAACCCAUGUAUAUAUCUAUUUAAUUUCACUUGAGUAGUAUAAAUAGUAUGUAAUAUAUCUCUAUUUGAUUUCGCAUGCUAUUCGUACUGUUCAGGUAAAAUCAAAUAAAUAUAUACUUGGAUUUAAAAAAAAUUAUUCAUACAUAUGAUCAAUAAAGGAUGAAAAAAUUUAUUUUGAAAAAUGUAAAGCGUGAAAAAAUUCAUUUUGUGAAAUAUGAGGGAUUAUGAAUCGAAUUAUAUAAAAUUUGAUUUGACAAUUUUGCCCUUAAAAUAUGAACAUGUGUAAGGCACGUGGUAGAUUCUGAUAAAAAACUAGUCGGAAACCUAAGUAGGGAUCAAAUUUGACCAAUGUGAAUUUGUAAGGGACAUAAAAUUAUAUUUUUAAAAGUGGGGGACAAAAAAGUUAUUUUGCAAAAUAUGAAGGACGUUUUGAAUAAUUUUUUCUUUUAAACAAUGAUCAUAUUUAUAUUUAUAAUAGCCAAACUAGUCAAUAUGGUGGAAUCUUUCAUAACUGCAGAAUUCGCAACUUGAAAUAGUGAGAUUUUGUAUUUCUAACUCAAUCAGCAACUUUCAAGUUGCUACACCAUAUGAAAACUUAAUAGAAUUGCACAUAUUAAUGAUUAUUGUGUAAUCAAAAGAACAUAUAACAAGCAAUUAUAAAAUUAAAAUGUAAUGUGAGAUGAUUUCAAUAGUUUUAUAAGUAUAAAGCCAAAAUUCUUAGUGUGGUCAUAUUUCGACACCUCAUUAGCAUGUUUGAACGUGCACGUGUAUGUAUUUAUGGGAGUAUGCAUGUCUGUACACAUGUAUGCAUGUGUGUGUCUAUAUAUAGUACAUUUUUUUAUACAAUAUUAGUGUACAAUUUUCUUACAUUAGUAAGUUUGUGAGGACCCGAAAAAUUUCUUAUUUUUAUUGAAUAUUAUUGGUUUAUUUAAAUAUUUAUUCACCUAUUUUCUCCAAAUAAUUUAUUUCAACCUUCUUGUAUUCAAUUACGUAGAAUUAUGGCUCACAUAUAUUUUUAAAAUGACUUGAUUCCAAAAUUUCAUUUUCAAAAGCUCGUUUAGUGAGAAUAGUGAAUAUGCGUUUGGAGAUAAUAGCCGAUUUGAGAGCACAAUGACCUUGGAAAAUUGGAGACUUGUACAUUAGUGUUAAAAUAGGUAUUUUUAUGUUUAAGUGCUCAAAUGUUAGUUAUACCAUCGUUAUAAGAAAUUCUUAGAGAUUCCACUUUAUCGCGCACAACUCGGGAGUACGCGUUUUUACGCGCGCGAUUAAUUGAAGGACUUUAGACCUUUAUUAUUAGACCAUUAAGAGUGAAUAAUAAUAGUAUGAAUACAAGUGCAUUGGAGUUUUAGUGCACAAGUGAAACCAACUCGAGAGGAAUCGAGCACGAAACGCGCGCGUAAGCGCACUAUCCUUAGUUGACUUUUGAAGCAUUUUGGGCCACACAUUCUUAUGCUUCUCAUGGAAGCAUCACACCAGAUCAAAACCCUUCUCUUCAUCACCUCAAGUGGCGCUGCAACUCUGCCUUUCUUCCACUUAGCAGCCGUGCACUCCAUGGAAGAAAAAGACCAACAAUUCUCUUCAUUUCACCUCACAAUUCUUGCUCAAAUCACCUCAAAUUUUACGAACAACUUGCUAAACACUUGGUGAACAACCUAAGCUAGGAAAAGAGCUUGCUUUCCACGGUUUUCUUUAACUAUCAAGGGCCGAAAAUUUCUGCUUGAGUCACCAACAAAGGUAAUCAACGAUCAACCUUUCAAUUCUUGGUUUAUGGAAGCUACCUUGCACUUAUAAGCUCAUAUAUUCUUGUGGGUAGCUUUAUUUAUGUUGGAAUUUGGUGUGUGGGCUCUAUUAACUCCCACUAUGGCUUGAUGGACUGAUUUUGUGAGUUUUGAUGUUAUUAAUGUUGAAUUAGUGCUUAAAUUAGUAGAAAUAAGUGAUAUUAUGGAUGAAAGCUCAAAGGAAGUGAAGGGGAGAAUUUUUCCGUUUCUGCCCCUGUCAAUGCCAUGACCCUUAGAGCAUUUUUUUGAGAUUCAAUUGACUUGUUUAUGAUGUAUAUAUGUUGAGUGGGCUGUGUAGAAAUUUUCAUCAAAAAAUUACGUGAUUUGGUUGACCAAAUGUUGUGAUUUCGAAAGUUCAUCAAAACUGGAAUUUUUCCCGUAUUGCUCGGGCAGUGUUUCUGUUUUGGUCAUAACUUUUUACUCCGAUGUCGAAAUUGAGUGUUGUUUAUGGAACUAGAAACUAGAUAUUCCCAGUUUUCCAAUGGUAUAAAAUGUACAUCCUGAUUCCAUCUGAGCUAGCCGUACCAACCUUGUAAAUUUGACUGUUCUGUUUCGCGUCUGCACUGGAAGCUCUGCUUUGGGCAGCGACUUGAUGCUCAAAUAUGAGCUAGUUGUGGAUAGAUUUUUAAAAUGAUUCCUUCUGUGAAAUUGUAUCCUUAUGAGUGUAGUUUUCAACGCCACCAACCACGCUCAAUUCCAAGUUGAAUUGAAUGAGUUGUGGCUGAAGUUCGAAACUGACUCAGGGAUUGAAAACCCUCUUUUGGCUAGAUGAUGUCUUAACCUUGAUUGGGACUUGUUGUUUCGAAAUUUUUGGUGUUAAUCACCUACCAAACGUAUCUUGAAUGUUUUUUAGUCAUUUUCUACAUAAAUGAACUAUAUUUGAGAUGUUUUCAUUGGCCGAAUAUUUAGAAAAGGAAAAUUUGCAUACAAAGACAGAUUUGCCUUGGAAAUUGUGGGAUUUUAGUGAUUUUGUUAACCCACUUCCCGUAUGUAUUUUUCUAUGAAAUUAUACAGAGGAAUAGCCCUUAUAUGGUAGUGUAAUACUGCCAAGUUUGGUGUCAUUCCAAGUCCAUUUCGAUGCUCAACCAAAGUCCCAAAGUUUGUGAUUUAAACCUGGAAAAUCUUCGUUCAAAGAGGAAAUUCAGCAAAUUUGAGCCAGCAUAUCUUGGUACUCGAAACUCCAAUUCUUGUUCCGCUUGUUGUGUUGAAAACUUUGAUUGUAACUCUAAUUCAGUUCCAAAUUUCAGAGGCUAGUUCACAUUGUGUGAAUUUUGCCGAAUUUCCAAAUUUUGUCAAAAAUCAACCCAAAUCUGUCUUGACUUUCCAAAACAGCGACUUUGAGCCGAUUUUGAAUACCUUCCAUUUGGAAUCAUGGAAAAGUGUCUUCUAAGAAUUUUUGGUACUUUGGAAGAGGUUUCCAACUAUACCAAUUUUUUCAAUUUUGGACUUGUAGAGUGUGAGAUACGAUUUUUCCAAGAUCGUGAGACAAACCCGAAAUUUCCAAACUUAAAAGAAGUUGAGUUUUUAGAACUCAUCUUUUUCCUUCGAUAUCACUUGAUCAUUUUACACUUGAUUUCAAAGAUGAAAACUAAAUUUCUCUUGUAUUUUAAUACUCCACUUUUGAGUCUCGAUUUACGAGAAAUUAAGGCUCAUUUUCAUGAGAUUUUCUUAGAUUGUACUCUAGUAUAAUCUUCUUCGAUAAUUGGGGUUUAUAAGUGAUUGUCCAUUAUUAAUUACUCAGGCACGCACGAGAACCUUCAAGAGGAUCCCACGGUGGACGCCUGAACUUUGAGUGACAUUCCUUCUUUGAUAACUUGGUGAGUGUCAAGUGUAUGUUAAAUGCUUAUGUGAUUGAGAUAUUAGUUGUACAAGUGUUAUACAUGAUACGUAAACUUACCGAGACGAGGGUGUACUUUAUCGCCCUCAUCCCCUUUCUCGUGUAACUACGUGAUACGUAUUACAUGAAUAAAUAUGAUUGGCAAUUGUACAUGGAUAUUACGUGCUUGAUUAUUAUUGGUGCAUGAAUAGUUGAAAUCUUGUGAGUUUGAUACGUGCUUACUUGAUAUCAAUGACUUGAAAUUUUUGAAAUGGAGUCGAGUGUGUACUUUACCGCACUCGUUCUCAUUUGAAAUAAAUGACUCGUGCUUGACCUAAAUUGAAUCGCUUGACCUGACUUGAACUACUUGACGUGACUUGAAUUGCUUGACCUGACGUGUCUUGAAUUGGAAAAUGUGCUAUGGAUGCAUAAGUCGAUUGGAGCGGUGUUUCAUCGACCUCUGAACAAUAGCAAGUACCACACCGAUUUGGUGGGAGGUACCUCUCCAAUCGUCUCAGACCUAAAAACUGAACGAUUGUAAGUACCACGCCGAUUUGGUAGGAGGUACCUCUCAAGUCAUCUCAGUACCCUAAACCUCUGAACGAUAGCAAGUACCACACCGAUUUGGUAGGAGGUACCUCUCGAAUCGUCUCAAACCUAUAAACUGAACAUUGUAAGUACCACACCGAUUUGGUGGGAGGUACCUCUCGAGUCGUCGUAGUACCCUAAAUCAUGCUAAGUCGAUUGGAGCGGUGUCUCAUCGACCUCUGAAUGAUAGCAAGUACUACACCGAUUUGGUGGGAGGUACCUCUCGAGUCGUCUCAGUACCCUAAAUCAUGCUAAGUCGAUUGGAGCGAUAUUUCAUCGACCACUGAACGAUUGUAAGUACCACGCCGAUUUGGUGGGAGGUACCUCUCGAGUCGUCUCAGUACCCUAAACUUCUAAACGAUAGUAAGUACCACACCGAUUCGGGUGGGAGGUACCUCUCGAGUCGUCUCAGAAACAUAAAUGGAAUACGUGAAGUGUUACGAUUUAAUUAUCUACCCAGGUGACGGGGUGUCGUUACAAGAAGGUAUUGAUUUGAACUCGGGCAAAGUAAUUGAAAAUUAGCUUUUGAGAGCUCUUGCCUCCUACUCAAGUGUGUUUAUUAUAAAUUGUGAAUUUAUUGAAUGUUAUAGUUUUCACUAUUGUAUAAGUGCUAUUGCUAUUGAAUUACUUGUCUUGCAUGUUUUCUUGGCCUCACGAGUAUCUGCUCACCCCGUUAGAUUUGUUUUCCCUUAACAGGAGCUGAAGUGGGAGGAAUUCUAGAGAAGCUUAAUUGAUGGUUCACUUGAUUAGAAUUGUGAAUGUAUUUGCUUAGAAUUUGAUUUUGGAAGCUGUAUAUUUUGGGAAUGUAAAGAAAUUGGGUAGAUUAUGAAGUAAGACUUGAACGUUUAUUGAGGAAUUGACCUUCCUUUAUCUCUUCGAUUUUAGUAUCGAUUGGUUAUUAUUGAGUGUAAAUUGAAUUAGUACCGAGUCCUGACGAGAGUUGGGCAGGCGUUCCGCCGAUACCCUUGGGUUUGCCCUUGGGAGAAGUGGGGGCGUCACAAAAUUUAUAUCAAGUCACGUAACAUGUAUUCAAAUUUAAAAUUUAAAUCAUGUACACGCGACGUACAUCUAUGACUACUAGUGUAAAAAAAUCACUACACUAUCGAUGUAUAAAAAGCUAAUCCAUAUAUAUAUAUAUAUAGACACAUACAUAUAUAAAUACAUAUAUGUGGCAUACAUACAUAUAAUAUGUGACAACCCCACCUCCCCCUAAGGUGAACCAAAGGGUUUGGCGGACCGUCUGCCCAACUCUCGCCGGGACUCAGUCGUUCACUUCAGUCCUCAAUUAAAAUCGGAAUAAAACCACAGGAAUAAAUAUAGCAACAAUCCAAAACUUAAAGCGAAACUUAUAUACAUUUCUAUCUCAAAAGAGAGGACAAAUAUCGAAUAUACAAAGGUUCUCAAUUCGUCAUACAUCCAACCCGUGCCAAGCACUAGAGCGAGAACCAUUACAAAAUUCAGAGAUCUAGACUAAGCUAGUCUACACAAAGCUCCCGUUCUGGCUCGCCUUCCCCUGUUAAGGAAAACAACUAAAGGGAUGAGUUAAAAGCUCAAUGAGGUUCCGAACACAUAAUCAAACAAUAAGUUCAAUGCAUUAACCAUAGAUAACCAAUAAUUCAAGAAACAUUUACAAUGGAAAGUGAUAAUAACACAUUCAAUAAAAGGAUACGUGCUCACAGGGAGCCAUUCAUUCAUUCGUUCAUUCAUUCCCUUAUUCCUCCAAUCAUUUGAAAAUGUAUUUUUGUAAGUAAAACCCCUCAUUUGCAUUGACAUUCGUUCAUUCAUUUCAUUCACCCCCUCCUAGACAUUGGCCAGGCUCCACUAGACUACAAGGUAAUACUCGAGUAUACCAAACAUUCACCCAGGGUCACCAUAUCGCCCGACCAAGUCCGCUUCUGGCUCGAGUCGAUCGGUAACGAAGGGCAGGGCCCAGUUCAGCCAAAAGGCUUACAUUCAUGCACAAGUAACGGUUCAAUCAUUCAAUCAUUGAAAAUUUCACAUUCGUUUAGGUCGAGUACGAUAAAGUACACACUCGCCUAAAAAACUCGUUUUGGCAAUCAUUAAGAGCACUUAACACAUUAUCAACAAUUACAACAAGCCAUGAAGUCAAGGAAAGUAUAACAAACAAGGAACACUCACCUAGUUAUGCAAAAUAACGUCCAAAAUAUCCUUCCGGAUUUUACUCUCAGUCACCGAUGAAACCUAAGAUUAAACGAGAAAUAGUAUUACAGUUUAUCGAGCAAAACAAUUAAGUGAAAUCGAAGAAACCCGAUUAAUUACGAGUAAAACGUAAAAAGAUGACUUUCAAGUGAAAAGAGGGUAUUUGGAUCUGUGGACAGGAAUAACGAGGGUUUCAUAAACCAGACGCAAAACUAAACUCAAAAGGGUUAUAAAAUUUCCAACGAAAAACACUGAACCAAAGACAAUCAGUAUCCAAAUAGAUAAGCUAAGGAAAUAUUCUUUCUGAACCGUUUAUGUGACUCAAAAUCAACUUAUAAUCAAGUAAACAUUAUAUACAAAUGUCGUGAUGAAAAUCACGUGAAGGAGGACAAAAUACCUUAAUUUCACAUUUAAAACCUCAUUUGAAAGUAGUUUUCUCGUAGCCGAGAAAACCCUAAUUCAUACCUCUUUAUUUUGGGAAGGAGUAAGUAAACAUUUGGAGUUUCAAAUUGAAGAGGUAUCAUGUUUUAAAAUGGUAAAACGGUCAUGAUAUUCACCAAGCGGAAAUAUAGGAGUUCAAAUAGAAAGUAGCUUCUCGACCACCCUUCGAGAGCACCACUAUAGUUUUAUAUGAAAUACGUCCAACUUGACACAAAACACAUUUCCAAAACCACUUUAACUCGCUCACAUUACAAGAAAAUAAACGGACGGCAUUUCCCCUUUAAAUUCUUCACUUUCACCCUACAAUCCAAAAACCAAUCUUACAAGAAUCAACCACAAUCGCACAUACGGUUCAUAAGCAAUAAAACACAUCCAAUUAGGCCACAAUAUCCCUCAAUCAAAGCGAAUUAGAAACUUAAAAGCCAACUAUAAGAAAACCCCCAAAUUAAACCCUAAAACCAGAAUUUAUCCCCACAAGCGGAAAUUUUCCGCAAACAAUCGCAAUUAACGCAUACAAGUUCCAUUUAACACCAUCUCAAUCCAUCAAUCCAAAGCCAAUCCAUGAUUAUCAUAUAAAAUCAGAAAAAUUCCCAAUAAAUCAGAAAUUGGACCAACUCCACUUAAAUUCACGAAACCAACCACAAAAUAGCAUCUUUAACCUUUACAAUCCACCGAUAUACCAUUAUUAAAACAAAAAAGAACUUUCUUAGUAACUCACCUUAUAACUCAAGAAAGGUAGGAACUUAAAGCUUCCCUUCCAAAAAUAACUCCACUAUCACCUUUAACCCUUCUUAGCUAGUCCUUGUACGGAGUAGUUUGAAAAUCCAAUGGUGAAAUCUCAAGAUUUGAGUGAAAAUUGAAACUAGAAAAUGAAGAGCUUCCUUGGUUUUUCUCUCAAGAUAGCCGGUCAAGCAAGGAGCAAAAAUGAAGAUAUUUUAGUAAGAAUGAAUAAAAAGCAGCCAGUCAAAAUUGACUGCCGGAGGUGACGUCACAAUCCCGCCGGAUUCCAGGCCGGAUUCAAGGCAGUGACGAAUCAAAAUUUUUUCAAAUCCCUCAAGCAAUCCGGCCAAGAACUGGCCGGAUUUGGUCCAAAACAUUUUCAAUAGAAAUUUUUCUUUCCAAGUUCACAUGCUGCGUUCGUCCGUACUUCCAACAAAGAUAUAUAUAUAAUCUCGUGCAAAUACACUUAAUAUACACAACCACACGCUCACAUUUCUAAUGAAAACCUUUCUUAGAAAACUUGGUUAGCAAAUUUUCAUUUUAAAAGGGAAGUGAGAAUAAACAAGAAAAAUGCGGAGAAUAUGUGAAAAUUUUAGGGUUCCCACAUAAUAUUUGUAUGCCACAUGUAUGUAUGUAUGUGUGUGUAGAUACACACACACAUGCAUAAGUUUGCACAUAUAUUUACAAAUACAUAUAUAUAUAUAUAUAUAUAUAUAUAUAUGUUGAAAAAAAUGCUCAAUUCUUUUGCAUAUUUUCAUGUCAUUAUAAACCCACAAAACCAAGUAAAGAGAGUUAAAAGACCAAGGAAUUGAAACUUAAGGCUUACCAAAUGCAUAUUGUAAAAAUGCUUAUGGAAAUUGAAUAUUAAAAAGGAUGACAAUUUAAAAUAUAAAUAUAGUGACUUGUUAUACAAAAAGUUGAUACUAAACCACUACAAUUUGACUAGCCUUCAGGUUGUAAAUACUCAGCAUCUCUAUAGAGAUAGAUGUGUUGCAUAUAUUUUUUGUAUAAUUAUGUUUUUUUUUUGUGAUAGAUUACUAGGUAUUUUGGCUGAUUUUGUACUAAAGUUUUUUGAUUGUGGAAAUGAGGUAAAAGUAUUGAAUUUGGAAGUUAAAUGUGCAUUUUUUCAAAUUUUAGAAAUAUGGCAUUGUUCAAGGGAUGAUCAGGACCAUUUGGACCAUGGGAUGAAGGGAAAGGAUCAAGAAGGAUGAAGAACUACACCCAAGUUAAGGAUACUAGAAGCUAGCUCCAUUCUAAUGAUGCAAACUAAUGAGGAUUCGACAUUGGAUCCAUGAUGUACUCUCUGAUAUUAUCUUUACCACUAUAUUUCAUUGAAAUCAGGUGUGUUAAAAGCAUACUUAUUCAGUCUUUUCGUUCUUGACAAAUCUUUUCUCAAUGUCUUGAAAGGACGCCUUAGUCGUAGUUGUCAUUUUUGACAUUGUUCCUUUGAAUGUUUCUGGAAUGACCUUUUCAAUGAUCAUCAAACACAAGUGAUUUGAUUUCUCCCACCUUUUCUUAUCCCUCUUUUCAUCAGAGGUACUCUGAUUUGUAAGAGGUGGAGGAGAAUUGCUCUUAACGCAAGGUCGAGAUCCAUUAUUCCAAAAACUAUCAAGAGAUUUUCUUUCUAAAACUUGAAAUUUUUGCCAUUUAGUAUAGGAAUAUUAUUGAUGUUGAUAGUAAUAUUUGUAAGAUCAUUCGUAACUGAAUAGAAAACAUGAAAUAAUUAAAACAAACUCACAUAGACCAAAAUAAUAAUAAAUUCAAAUAAAGGUAACCCCAUCUCAAGAUACCGAUGUUCCAUUAAUAUUUUAUUUUUGGAUAAAAAUAUUUACUUUGAAGUGAUAUCUUGGAGCAAUAAUAAACAUUGAUAAUAAUAAUAUGUCAAAAAAUAAAUUUUUCUUUGGGCCAAUUUAUAAUUCACAUGAAAAAAUUCGAAUAAUCAUUACAUGUUUAUUACUGCAAGUGCAUAUGUAAUUUUGUUAAAUAUUGACCUUCUUUUGAAUCGAUUAAUAUUCACAAAAUUACAAGUAUCCAACUAGUUAUAUUCUAAAACUAAUUUUCACAAAAGAUGUCACUUUGAUGACAUAUUGUUUCAAUUAAUUUAUUUCAAAAAAUAUAUAAUCAUACUAAUAUUCAAAUUUAAAAUUACACAAAAUACACAAAAAUUUUGAUCAAAGUCAAUUGUGAGCAACUCUGAUCAAAAUGUGGUUAAACUAGUCAAAUCUAGUCAAACCCAUCAAUUUUUGUCAAACGUGAUCAAACCAGUCAAACUAGUCAAAUCUGGUUAAACCAGUUAAUUCAAGUCAAAUAUGGUCAAAUUAGUCAAAUCUGGUCAAAUAGAUCAAGAACUAUUGGACUAAAAGUUUAUAUCCAUAAUUUAACCCAAAUUUAUCAUUCAACCCUAAAAUUUUCUUAAAGUUCAUAAAUGUCUUAUAAAACUUUAUAUUUAGUGGGCCAACCUUAUGGAUUUUUUUUAUAAGACUUAAAUGUCGUAUUUAACUUUGUUAGGGUUCAUUCAGACUAGAGAAACUCUAAUUUCCUUAAUAUAAAUAUAUGCAUAUUUAUUCUUGAGAAAGAAAAAAAAGGAUAAGCCAAAGUAUCCAACUAUUAAAACUUGUACCUUAACAUAUUAAGAGGUUACAUAUUACAUGGUCCUACCAUGACUUCCGAAAUACAAAGUCAUAUCAUGAAACAAUAGUGAACAUGAAAAUAAUGCUGUUAAUCGAAUAGGAUAGCUCACGAGCCGAGUGCUCGGCUUGAUAAGGGCUCGACUCGGUUCUUUUACUGAGAAAAACAAGCAGAGCUCGAGUUGUAUAUAUACUCGUCUAUUAAACGAGCCGACCUAUGCUCGACUUGCUAAUAACUCGACAGGCUCGAAUAGUAAGGGCAUUAGCGUCAUUUCAUUGUGUAUCUGAUAGCUUAACCCGAAUUCAUUCCCGUUCCUGGCCCUAAUUUUUCUUUCCUCUUUCCUUUUCCUGUUCCACAGUCGCAGUUGCACCUUCCCAGUUCUCACCACCAUCACCAAUCCAUCCACCACCUCACCUCCAUCACCAAUUUGUCCACCAUCUCACCGCCAUCACCAAUCCAUCCACCAUCUCACCACCAUCAUUCAAUCCGUGAGUCCGUGAGCACCGUUUAGGGACGCAUCUCCACUUCUCGUGAAUCCAUGAGCAAUUUGCCGUGAGUGCGCCACGGAGCCACGUCGGUAGAGCUAGGGGCUACUACCAUAUCACCAAUUGGCUACAUAAUCUGAUAACCGUUUCUUACCAUUGCAAUUUAUUUUUGGUUUUAAGAGGCUGUUUAGGUUUUGCUUAAUCUGGUACCAUUUCUCAUCUACUAUAUUUUAAUCUGCUGAGCUUUUGCGCUUUAAUGCACUGCUACCACCUUAUCUUACCUUUCAAUGGAUGGCUAUGUUUAAGCAAUAUUAUACUGCAAUUGAUUGUUAUGUUUGGUUGUGGACUGUUUGUCAUUGCGAAGGAAAUAUUCUGCUUAGAAUUUUGGGAUUAAUCUAGGGUCCUGUGACUUCUAGAAAAAUCCAAUACUAAACAAAUAGGGCUUAAAAACUUGGAGUACAAAAGCUCUCUUACUGUCAAUUUUUUUGUCUUUUUCAGUUUACAAUUUGCAAAUUCACAACUUUCAAUUUACAAACAUGGAAAUAUUUGCCACCUAUUAACCUAUAUGAACCUUGGUAACCAAAGAAUUCCAAUGGCCAGUCGUAAAGGACUAGGCUUAUAAUCAAAAGUUGGUCCAAACUCUUGAAUUGCCUUACUGAUGAAGACAAGGGAAAGGCUCCCGUUUUGUAGAUGCUUGUUUCAAGUGUCUGUACUCAUGAAAUUAAUUUUCAAUCCAUGCAUAAAUUACUUGCAAAUGCUUAUCAUAUAACUGAAACCUACUUGACUAAUGAAAACUCCCCUGGCCAUGUUACAUCACCAAUUGUAGAAAUCAGGAACUAUUCUGUUGCCUAUUAUGUAAUAAUACUUACAAGAUCAAGAGCUUAAUUCCUUGCCACAAAAUUUAAGGCUCUGAAAUUCCUGAAACAAAUGAUUCAAAGAUUACAGUACCUCUUUUUUUUUUAAAGAUGACAAUUGCUCACCAAAGGACAGGCAUCUGAAUCAUGCAAUAUACUAAUGGAAGCCAAAUGAAUUUGUGAACCAAACCUCACAUAUAAUUACGUCAUUGGAAAUAUUUUUUUUCUUUGCUUUGGGAAAUUUUGUUGUUUGCCUUGCUAUGUUAUUGAUUAAAUUAAUGAUUGUUUUACUGAUAAGGAGAAAAAAUUUCAGAAACCAAGUUGGAAAAGGUUUAGAUAGAUGUAGGGACAUGUUUGAUAGUUUUAAUCAUAGGUUAUAGAUGUUUCUCUGUUAUUUAAUUAAUCUGAAUUUAAGCUUGAGAUAGGAACAAGUUAAAGAAAUGUUAAAACUGGCUUGAAAGAAGAUUAUUUCUUGGAAUCUGUUUUGUUACUUUUGUACCUUAUUUCCUAGAAAUGUUAUUCUAAAUUUCUGUUUUGGCUAAUCAGAAGUUAUUGCAUGUGUUUUGAUUAAGGUAUGUACAACUCUCCAUUCAACUCAUUUCAAGGUUCAUCAUCAAGUCCUAUGAUGAAGCAAAAUAAUGAAGACGUGGAACAAUUGAACUACACCUAAGAAAGAGCUGAUGAGAUGAGUGAAGAAGAGAUAGAAAUAAUAGAAGGUAAGGCCAAUGAAGAAGGACAGAAAGUAGAUGGAGAUAAAAGAGCUGGUCCUUUCGAGAAAAAGCAAACGUAGAAGAAAUCCAGUAUAUGGGAUGAAAUGGCAACAGUUGUGCUAGAUAAUGGGACAAGCAAAGUGAAGUGCAACCAUUGCAAGGAAAUUUUUGCCAAGAGUGCAACCGGAGCUACAUCUCAGCACAAGAGGCACCUGAAUUCUUGCCUAUAGAGGAAGUUGGCCAUUGGGGAGCAAAGCAAAUAGAAGCAACAAGUGCUAUCAUUUAUUGAAGGUCAAAGUGAUGGUAUCACUUCUAUCACAAAUUUCUCGUAUGAUCAUGCCAAGGUAAGAGAGCUUGCAUCACACAUGAUUCUUACACAUGAGCACCCCUUUUCUAUGAUAGAUCAUUUAGUUUUCAACAAAUUCAUGAAAGUGACAUCUCCAUUUUAUAAAAAGAUUAAUCGGCAGACUGUUAAGAAAGACUGCAUUGGUACUAAUACAAUUGAAAAAAGGAAGCUGAAAUCAUUGUUGAAAGGUGCUGGUAGGAUUAGUAUUACCACAGAUUUGUGGAAAUCUGGUCAAAAAAUUCAAUAUAUGGUUGUGAUUGGUUAUUUUGUUGAUUCUGACUAGGUGCUACAAAAACGUGUGUUGAAUUUUUGCAAUGUUCCUCCUCCUCAUACUGGAGUUAUUGUAGCUAAUGCUCUAAGUAAGUGCUUUAUUGAUUAGGAGAUUGAGAAUAAGGUUUCUAACAUAACUGUAGAUAAUGCUUCGUAUAAUGAUGUGUGCAUUAGGAGACUUAGAGAGGAUUUUUCUCUAAGAAAGAGAUUAAGUAUUGGAGGAUAAAUUUUUCACGUUAGGUGUUGUGCACAUAUACUUAAUCUCUUAGUGCAAGAUGGUCUUGGUCAACUUGGUGAUGUGAUUGAUGUUGUUAGAGAGGGGAUAAAGUACUUGAACAAUUCUAAAUCUUGGCUUCUUGUAUUUGCCAAAAUUAAAAAAUAACUCCAGUCGCCCUCUAGAAAGCUAAUUUUGGACUGUCCAACAAGGUGGAAUAGCACCUAUUUGAUGUUGGUUUCGGGUUUAGAGUUCAAGGAUGUCUGUCUUUCCAAGAUAUGCAGACAUUGAUCUCGGAUUUCACUAUGUUCCAACUGAUUUUGAGUGGAUGAAAGUGGAAGAGGUGUGCAAAUUUCUAGGAAUAUUUCAUGAAAUCGCUAACAUGAUUUCCAGAUCCGAGUAUCCAACAGCUAACAUUUUUCUUGUGGAGAUCUAUAGGAUUAAAGAGCUUUUAAAUGAAAAAGCUCUUGACCCUUAUGAGCAUAUUUGGGCUAUGGCUGGAAGUAUAUCUGCUAAAUUUGAUAAGUGUUAGGGGGAAAGUAAUGUGCUGCUAUCUUUGGGUGCAAUUUUGGAUCUGAGAUACAAAAUGGCUCUUAUUAAUCAUGCUUUUCAAGUGAUAUAUGGUGAGGAAGUAGCUCCUAGAUUCGUGGCUGAGAUUAGAGACAUUUUUAUGAGCUUUACAAUGAAUAUGUUGGUUGUCACAUUAUUUCCCAUUCUGAACAACAACAGAGGCAGGUUGUAAAAAGGAAACAAAAUGAAGGUUCUAGUUCUUCUAAUCAGAAAGCUAGUAAAAUGACUGGACCCACUGUUUUAACUGGUAAAGGAAAGUUUCACAUGCAUGUGAGUGAAAUUGACAAGGCUCCACUAGAAAAAUCAGAUUUAGAUGUUUAUUUAGAAGAAGGUAGGUAUGCUUGUGAUGCAAAUGCGAAUCUGGAUGUUUUGGCUUGGUGGAAAGGGGAAAGAUUGAGAUUUCCUAUCUUGUCGAGAAUGGCUGCUGAUAUACUCUCCGUUCCUAUUACAACUGUGGUUUCAGAAUCUACCUUCAGCGUUGGAGGUAGAGUAAUUGAUGAUCGACGUGCUUUUAUGUCAGUUGAGACGGUGCAAAUGUUGCUUUGCGGAAAUGAUUGGAUCCGCAGUCUUCAUGGCCUAAAGAAUAAGUCUCGCGUAAGUAAUUGAUUGGAUGUUUUUCUUGUUGUUACAGUUUCAUUAGAUCUGAUUUUCAAGAACUUUAUAACUUUCAUACCUUUGUUUUGUAGGAAUCACUUGAUGCGGCCGAAUCAAUCACAUUUGAGGAAGUUGAACUUCUUGAGUCAUUCACAACCUGAUUUGGUGGCUGUUAAUGUUGAUUGGUGGCUGUUGAUGUUGAUUGGUGCAAGCUGAUUUCAUUCACAUGUUGAUUUCCCAAACUGAUUUCGUUCAAAAGCUGCAUCAUUCACAAGUUGUUUUCGCUCAAGAAAGUUGUUUUUAACUCUUGGACAAUUGAAGUUAAACAUGUUGGUCAACUUGGUCUAGAGUUUGGACAUUUUAGAAUCUAUUUAAAACUACUUGAUGGCUGAUGUUUAAUUGUUUGGACUACUUGAAUUGUGAACUGCUUGAUUUGUGAUUUCUGUAUCUAUUUCAACCGACAGAUUUAGUUGUGAAUUUGCCUGAAAAUUUUGUUAACAGAUUAGACAAUAAUGGUUGCUAAUGUCCAGGUAUUCGAGCUCGAGCUCACCGAGCUCGUUAAGCUUGGUUUGAUUUUGAACUUGGGUUCGAGCUCGAGUCUCGAGCGAUUUAAGCUUGGCUCGAUUUUGAACUCGAGUUUGAGUUUUCAUCCGAGUUUGGCGAGUUGAUUUCAAACAGCUUUUGAAUCUCGAAUUACUAAUCGAGCGAAAAUAAGCUAACUCGAUUGGAGGUUUGAGUCGAACUCAAUUAUUAUGUGCUCGAGCUCGACUCAACUCGAUUAACAGCUCUACAUGAAAGCGGAAAGCCGUAUUAUGACUUGUGCCAUUCAAGUUCUGUAUUCAUGUGAACUCGAGCUCGACUUAGCUCGAUUAACAGCUCUACAUGAAAGCGAAAAGCCGUAUUAUGACUUGUGCCAUUCAAGUUCUGUAUUCAUGUGAUACAACCAAAUUAAACAAUCAACUUGAUCCCAAAACACGUGCCAACUAACACUAGACCAUGCAAAAGUAUGGAAACACGAACGAAAUGGACGAAACCGAAUCACAAGCCGGAUACUUGUUGGCCGUUUCUUCAUCAACAUAAUACAUGAUUAUCCAAAAAAAAUUACCUAAAUUAUUUCCCUAAUAAUCAACCAUAUCUCACUCUGAUACCACUUGUUGGUGCUUGUUUAUAUUAAUUUUUAGUAAAAACUAUCAGCUAUUAAAGCCAGAGCACUUAUGGUGAUUAUCGAGAAAAAAACCAACAAUAAAAUGUGAAAGCGUACCUGGAUUCAUCUUGAUUAACUGGAACUUGAAUUCUUAGAGAUUUUGAGAUAGUCUUCCAGGUCAAUACGUAUUUGCUAAUCCCUUGAGAGAGCCCUUUAAUUUCUUUUUUGUAUCUUUCCUGACGAUGAGAUAUCAAGAAAUAGCUAUUUUGUGGUGCUAAAAAUACAAUAAUAAGAAAAUGUGUGACUCAGAGACCAUAAUCCUAUUUAUAGAUAACUUUCUUGUUAUCCUUUGAAUUCCUAUUUCAACCCAUCAUAGAAAUAAGGAUUACCCUCAAAUCCCCAACAUUAAAGACCCACAUCGUAUUAGAUAUAUUGAAACCAAACUACAAUUGAUCACUUUAAUUGGACUUAACCUUAUUUGACAAUCUAUAAUUAACCUUAUUUAACCUUAUUUGACAAUCUAUAAUUAACCUUAUUUAACCUUAUUUGACAAUCUAUAAGACAUAAUUAUUCACAUAUAAGUCCAACAUUAGAUUAAAAUCCAACAGCUUUCUCCACCCUUCACCUGGGGAGAAUCACUCACAGCAUAAAACUGGGGGAUGCUUUCUUAUAGUAGUUGGUAUCACUUUUGCAGUUAUGAGGUUUUAACAAUCAUCUUAUCCUUAGUUUUAUGAUUUAAUUACUCAUACUAUUAAUGACUGAAUUCUUAAAUUGCCUCAACAUAGAAUGUCAAAAAGCUUGUAGGUAUUUAGAUAAUAAGAAUCUCUUUUUCUGGAUAAUUGUCAUGUGUGUGCCUCGGAGUAGCAUAUUCGUUAUUUGAACCUAGGCUAUUUUCCUGGUAGUUUAGCAGGCAUUAUAUUUCUACUACUUUUCUUUGGGAUAACCAAGAAGAGAUAAAUUUUAUGAAUCUAAACAAAGAGGGGUUGUCAAGAAAAGUAUAUCAUCAAAGACUUCUUUUGGUGGAUUUGUUCUACCCAUAUUUGAGAUACAAAACUACCCAACCAAACUUGUUAAAACUGAUUAAUUGUAUGAGAAAUCAGAAAUGAUGUCUUUAAACGUGGUAUCCAUUUCAAGUCAUUAUAUUUGUGAGGUUAUCACCCAAAUCUCAAUUUAAGAAUUUCACAAUCAGGUCUGUUCUGGUAUUGAACUGAUAUGCAAGUACUUCAAGUGGAUAUUAAGUGCGGUAAUUGAUCAUUGGCAGAAGGAUUUCUAGGUUCUUUUUGGAUGAAAUAUGAUUUUUUUCCUAUGAAAAGAUCUGCUGUUGUUGACGUAAUAUAUCUUGUUACUUGUUGCUAACAAGUAAAAGUAGUGGUAUACUGAUGUUGGGCUGUAGUAGUUAAAUGCACUGAGAUUUUAAAUUUGUUAAGUUCAGUUAUUAUUUCAGUUUACAACUCUGGAGUAUGAAUGCUAUUCUAUUUCUGCUACUCCUGUUAUUUUAAGUGUACAUCUCUAUUAGACCAAAUUGGAUAAGACUACGGUCAAAUGCUAUCUUGGGUUCAUUUGGUCAUCAGUUAUGAUAGCUUCAACCACUUUUCAAGCUGGUGAACCUAUCAUCAAUGUUAACCCCACUGAUAUUAGGACUUGUCAAUGUUUCCUAGUGGAAGAUGAUGAUUUGAACUACUAUGGAUGUCUGCAAGAAUCCGUUUCCCUUGACACUGGGAGCCACCGCAAGGUGUCAACAGAUGAUUAUGCGUAUUUUGUAUCCUUUAUUUUUUGGUUCGUGGUUGAAAUCACUUUAUGCUUCAAAAAAUGCCUAUGAUCUGCAGUAUAUCAAAGCGUAUUGAUCCAUAGAGGGAAGGUCUGUGCAUAGAUUUGUCGCCAUUCUUUGAACUCGUAUGCUAGGCAAUGUUUUUAAACUCGGACCGGCCAGUGAACCGGAAAAGGGACCGGUUAGUGGUUCGAUCGGUCCGACCGGUUCACCGGUUCACUGCUUUUCUUUUCUUUUUUUGGGAAUGCAACUUCAGUGCUAAAACUAAAUUUAAAAGCAUAGUUAUUGAUGCUCCAACAUAGUUAUUGAUAACUUAAGUUCUUAAAAUGCAAUCACUAAAAUAACUUAAAACUAAAUUUAAGUUGAGAUAAUAAUAAAAUUCUUAAAAUUUAUACAUGAAAUGGAAUGAUAAACAUAACCAAAAUACAAUUACCGCAAGUUUUCUUUCUACUUUUCCUAUAAAUAAUGUACUAAAAAAACUCGAUGAAAAUUGGACAUGAAAUAGAGCAUAAUCGGUUUAUGAAAUAUUUGCCAUAUUCAAUUUAUAUUUUUUCUAUUUAUAUUUUGUCUUUAUUUCUAUUUGCAACAAUAUUUCUGGGAGCAUUUCUUACCCAAUCUUUGUAUCUUAUGCAUUCAUUUAUUUAAAUUUCUCUUCAACAUCAGUCCAAGAAAAAAAACCAAGUUGGACUGUCUGCAAUUUGCAUCAGUUAAAAAAACAAAAAAAAAAAAACAACCCACGGGACUGUCUUUUUCCUUGUAUUCCCCCAACAAAGCAAGAAGGAUACAAACUAAAAUAUAAAAAAAAGAACUAAUGGAAGAAAACAAUAAUAGUUAUAAAAUGAAAUUGCCCAUAGCAUAGGUGUCUUUAUUAUAUUUUAUUUUGCUAAAUUCAGAAUCAAUUUGCUAAAUUCAAAAUGAACCAAAAAAUAGAAAAAAGGGAAUUACGUGCAACAAAUUUUAGCCCAAUUAAAACAAAGAACAACCAUAAAUUAUCCAAAAAUCAAAGAUAUAUGUAGUUUAGUAUUGCAUUUGAGUGUAUCUUUACAGGACAAAAAAUAGACAAAAAAAGGACAAAUUCAUGUAAAAAAAUAAAAUAAAAAAAGAAAAAGUUGGAUUAGUGCUUAUUUGGAUUUCCUUCAAAAUUUACCUGCGAAUAUCAACUCUGCAACUGAGCUAAAGAAAUCAUGCAAAAAUAGUACAAACAAGAUCAAUAUUCAAUUCACGGCUGGAAUGCCAAAAUGAGAAGAGGAAAAAGAAACAGAGCAGAGGAGAAUGACUGAAUGAGCUGCCGACACCAAGGAAUUGAAGCCAACAAAGAAAUAAAGAGGCUGACGUGUUUUAGACUUUUAGUGCUAGGGUAUUUCAGUUUUUUACUUAAUAAGUUAAGUAGAUGUCCACAAAUAACAAGCUUGUCUAUGGCUUAAUGGUAAAGAACCCUCCUUGCAAUCCUAAGGACCCAUGUUCGAUUCUUAAUAGCCACAAUUUUGAAAUUGCUUUUGCAAUGUUCACAAAAGUUUCAAAAACCGCCGGUUUACGGUUUAAGCGGUUUUUCACGGUUCGUCCGGGUCAACCGGUUUCUAAUAGUUUUUCAUUAAUCUCCGACUUUAACUCCAGAUCGGACCGGUGGCAUGUCCGGUUCGCGGUCCAAUCGGUUGAACCGGCCAGUCCGGUCCGAUUCUGAAAACAUUGAUGCUAGUAGGGCUGUCAACGGGCCGGGUCCGGGCCGGAAUUCAUUAUUCCGGACCCGGACCCGAAUUACUAUACCGGACCCGGAUCCGACCCGUUUACCCGACGGGUCUUUUAUUAUAUGUUCCGGAUCCGGCGGGUCCCGGAUCCGGGUCCGGUCUACCCGAACAAAUUUAGCAAAAUUUAUAAUUUCUAAUAAAAAUGAGAAAAAAAUAUAUUUGUAAACUAAUUUCUAACUAAUGCAAAGAAAAAACCAAAUAAAAAAAGAAAUCAAAUUGACUUUAUUCAAAUACAUCACCCUAAUCAAAUUAUAUUGAUAAAUAUAUAUUUUUUAAAUUAUUAAUUCAUUUAUAUCCGGAUCCGGGUCUAAUACGGGUCGGAAUACUAUAUUCCGUAUCCGACCCGUUUUUUUGUUUGACAAAACUGAUCCGGAUCCGGAUCCGGGAAACGGAAUUAAAUCCCUACCCAUACCCGAAAUAAUUUCACGGAUCCGGUCAGAAUCCGGGUCUAGACCCGACCCGUUGACAGGCCUAGAUGCUAGGUAGUAUUUAAUCAUUUAUUUAUGACAGGUAGUAUUAGCUUGUACAUGUGUAUUUUUCAUGAACAAAUACGAUCCUACUUCUUUCUGCCUUUUCUGCUGUCAUAGCUUGCCAUACUUUUAUGCACUCUAAUAGUUAGUUAUGUUACUAAGACAUAUUGUUAAAUGGAAAUUCCCUUUGAUGACUUAGAUCUAUUCUUCUAUCAAACACAAUAAACUAAGUAUACAAGAACUUUGGUGGAACUAUAAUCUCCAAAACCAUAAUAAUUUUUCUUCAUGGGGUUAAUUAGUGAGAUUAUAGAACUUUAGGGGUUUAUGUGAUUAAGUUAGAAGUUGGGGGAUUAAUUAACAAUAUGAGCAAGUUUGUAUUGGAAGAAUUGAGUUAGACUCUUUCAAACCCUUCUCACUUUCUCUCUCUAAAAUCUCCCUAUAUUCCCUUUUUUAAUUAAGGUGGAAAUCCUGCAAAUCAAAGAUUUGGAACAAGUGAGAUGCUUGGAGAUCCAUUGAUAAUCUCUAUUCAAGGUAUGUACCAAGUUUAAUUGUUACUUUAUGGGUGAAUUUGGUGGGACUAUGUUAACCAAUAAGAAUUUUGGAAGGAAAUGAUCUCUUGAUCAUGACGUGUUUAGAUUAUUUGGUUGGCUACUUGUUUAAACUUAUUUUAUUGCACUUGACUGGUAGUUAAACUUUUGAUAAAAAGUGACUAGUAGUUGAAAUUGAAGUCCCAAAGCUUACAUUUGGCUUAGAGCCAGUCCGGUUUGCUUAUUUCGAUUCCCAUUUUCUUAGUUUCUCUAGUUUUCACUCAUGAAUCAUUUUGUUUGGUCUUGUUAGUGCGAGAAUUAGUACUAAUUCAUAUAUUGAUAGUUUACUCAAUUUUUUUUAAGAGUUAGAGAUUUAACUUGGCUCUCGCUUUAUAGGCAGGAGAGCAUGUAUCAUGAGAAUUUACUUGAGUUAAGCUGAGUAUUGGUUCGUUUGGCUAAUGUAAGUGGUUUCAAUACUCUCUAUACUUCUAACUCAAAUUUAAUAAAUAAAAAUAGCUUUAAUUGCUUAUCUUAUUAUGAAAUUUGGCAUGAACAGUGAUACAUUUCAUGUAUGAUGUAUGAAUGAUUAUGAUUAUGAUAAUGAGGAUGAAAUGUUUAUAAUGAAUUGUCACGAAUCGGGUCAAAGAGUUGGCUCGAGUAAUUUUUGGACCAAAAUUCACUGGCCCAAAAUGCUUAGCCCAAAUCACAAAAUAGUGUAUGAAGCCAAGUUCUUAAGCCAUUCAUCCUUUGUAUUCUUUGAAUAUGGGAUAUUAUAUUCUCCCCACAUUAGGACUUUACAUCCUCACAAAACCCGACAAAAUACAGACUAUCCAUUUGGUCAUGUUCAGAUUCUAGAGAUGGCACUCGCUCGAUGUGGCACUGAGUCCCGUAGGCUCUAUAGGUAGCCUCCAUCGAACAUGACACUUAGCCCACAGAACAUUUGGCUCCUUACACUUCUUUGUAUAGUCGGAACCAUAACCUGCUGACCUAAACUCACCUUGCGCAGAGACCACGCAAGAUUCGCUCUAAUACCAAUUGUCAUGACUCGGAUCCAAGGGUUGGUCCAAAUAAUUUUUGAACCGAAAUCCACUGGCCCAAAAUGGUUAACCAAAAUUACAAAGUUGCCCAUAGGUCCAAGUUCUUAAACUAUUCCAUUCCUUUGCAUUCUUUCGAUGUGGGAUAUCACAUUAAUGCUAUGUUUGGUUUGCACUUUGAGCUCGUUAUUUCUUGGUUAUUGUCAAUGGAACUAGUUCCUUAAUUUUGUCUAUCUGGCCUACAUAGUGGAACAAAUAGUUAGGAAAUUUAUGUCUGACCUACCUAGUGGGACAAAUAGUUAGGUUAGGAACCUUCUAUCUAACCUAUUUGACAGGACAAAUAGUCAGGACUGGAUAUCCGAUUAAUGAUAAAUACUAAGAAUUCAUGAGCUUAUUCGUGAUUUAAUAGCUAAUUAUUUAAUGUGAUUCAAUUAUAUAUUCUAAUGACUUAUGUAUUUUGAAAUGUAUUAUGUACCAACCUAUUCAUGCCAAUAGAUGAAUACCUGAACUACUUAUUGGCCAAAUGUUUGUUCACCCUAUUUGUUGUAUUUUCGAAGGGUGAUGCAUUCUACGAGGAAGAUUAUGAUACAGUUUAGGUUUAGUAGAGAAGGAAUAAGACUUAUUUUGUUAUAGCCUUAUUAUGGUUGUAUAUUGGACUUUGUUUAUUUUAUUAGAUAAGUAAAUUUGGCAACGAAUGGUGGUAAAUUAUAACACAAGUUGAAUUUGGGAAUAGUUUUGGCAUUGUCAUUAGAAUAUGAUUGUAAAUAGUAUGAAUGGUUGAGAAGAUAUUUUGCAAAGUAUUAGUUAUAUAAAUUAUGAUGCCUUGUGUCUUGUAGUCUUAUUAUGAGAUACGGCGGUAUUAUAUCCCAAUUUUGGGGCUUGGCAUUUUAGUGAUAUUAGAGAUUAAGGUUCGAUUAUAUUUGUAAUGUAAGAAUGAACAAGGAUUGUAUUUUCUUGGGACUUAGAUUGUAUGUUGGACAAAAAUUGGAAUGUAGUAACUUUGCACUUAGGGGUGGCCAACCUUCAUGUAAAUUGAUCUAUUUUCAAUUUUGGUGUCUAAAUACCACUUUGAUGUUAUGAUUAAAGUUUGGGGAAGACUAACUUGCUCUUGCUAGUUAUUGUUAUUUAUGAUUUUCUAUUUACAGCGUAUGCCACCAAAGUGGAGACAAAAAGCAAUUGCUGCCAUUCGUGAUGAUGGUGAAGAAUUUAAUGAAAAUGAUGUAAUAUUGGAAGAUCUUGGAACUAAAGGGAAUGAAGAUCUAGGCGGGUUUAUGUCGGAUGCUAGAUGGACAUCUUAAAGGAGGAGGACCGAGGGAACCUCUCAAGGGACUUGUGAAGGCAAUGCUAGUGCUAUGGCUCAAAUGCUUAGUUGUGACGCGCCCCCAUUUCUCCCUAAGGCGAACCAAAGGGUAUCCGCGGGACGCCUGCCCAACUCUUGCUAGGACUCGGUACAAUCCACAAUUCAAGACUAGGAAUACUUCAAAUAACUUCAAUACAUAACUAAAGUACUCCAAAAUAUCUCACACUUACAAUUAUGUAGCUUUCAAGCUUAAAUACAACCCAACGGAAAAGGGUACAAUAGCCAUCCGUUAUAAUAUAAUUUAAAGUCUUCAAAAGAAAACAAUCUAGUACUACUCACGAGCACCCUUGGUCUCGAACCCUGUAAAAGAAAACCACAACGUGGGAUGAGCUACACAGUUCAGUGAGGUUCCAAGACACUCUAACAGUUCAAAUAAAUCAAGUAAGUUGGGCAUAUCAUAUGCAUGGUUCAAGGUUACACAAUGGCAUGUUAUCAUGAGGAGAUAAUCAUUAUACGGGUAAUUUGAGACAUUCAUCAUGAGACAGUUAUCAUGGUUCAAGACAUUGGCAUGUAUAGUUCACGAGUGAUUGGAGCUUAUUACAUGUGCGAGUAAUUAAGCAUGUUACAGGUAUGGAGCAUUAACAUGAAACAGGUAUCAUGAUAUGAGUACAUUGGACAGGUAACAGGUAUGGAGCAUAUCAUAGGCAUGGCUCAGGAUUUCAUGUUGACAUUUUAGCAUGAAACAAUUAUCAUGAUACAAGAUAAACAUAUACUGUAGGAUACGGUGUUCCGGUGGAACUCUGUCGGUCAUCUGCACCUUAUGACUUCCGGAUCCCCUCGGUUUGACUGGCCAUCACCUUAUCCCUCCAGUGGUAAUACUCGAGUAUACCGAAACGGUGGCCCAGGGUUCCAACCUACUCGAUCGAGCCCAAUCCUGGCUUGAGUAGGUCAGUAACCAAGGGCAGGGCCCAAGUUCAGCUUAGAGCUUACAACAUGCACAGGUAACCAAGUAAUUCGACAAAAGGUAAAAUUCAUCAUUUGAGUAGGUCGAGUGAGGUAAAGUACACACUCGCCUAACAAUGAUGGACAGCUUCAUAUAACAUGUGAUUCAUGAUAAUCAAGUAAUCAAGUGGAUACUUAGCACAUAAGCACGUAAGCAAUACAAGUUGAUUUCAUGGGAGCAUGUAAUUCGCGGAUAUCGAAUAGUCAUGUAGAUUGGAAAUCAUGUGAGCAAAUAGUCAAGUAAUCAGAUAGUCAUGUGGGUUGGUAAACGGUUCGCGGUUAACGGUUAACGGUUGAGUAGUGACGGUUAUUUGACAGGCAUUUGCCAUAUUGAUAGGCCAUUAUUGGCCGUUAUCCCAUUUUUACCAUGUGAGAGUCGAGGAGAUUCACUCCAACGACGUAUGCAACCAUAACAUACCAAGUCAUGUUAUUCGAGCAUUUCCAAGCAUGAGUUAUUCAUCUCAAAAGAGAACGAGUGCGAUAAACUACACACUCGACCCCAUUUUUCAAAACCAAGUAGGCUAAACAAGCAAUCUAGCAAGUUAAGCAUGAAUCGAGUUCAUAUGGUCCUUUGAUAUGGUUAAUCAUUUAACCAAUUCAUGUCGAUAUGCAAUGCAAGUAUACAUUAUUUAUAUAGGCAUGAGUAUGGUAAAUAUUUAACACAUAGUACCUAACACUUAAUAAUCAUGAAAUGAGCAUGUCCUAGACUUAUUCAAUUAAGUAUUCCUAUAUGGAGCACUCACCUAAUCCAAAAUAAGCGAGUGGUUCUCAACAAGCGUUUAGGCGUCCGCUCCGAGUUCCUCUUGGAGAUCUCCUCGAGUGCCUGAGCAAACAAUAAUCAAUUACCACUCAAUAUCACUACGAAUCUCUAAUUAUCGAGGAAGAUUGUACGCUAGUGCAAUCUAAGGAAAUCUUAUGAAAAUGAACCUCAAUUACUCGUAAAUCGAGAUUCAAGUGGAGUUUCUUAAAGUACAUGAGCAAUCGAGUUUUCAUUUUGGAAAUCAAGUAUAAAAUGUUCAAGUAAUAGCGAAGGAAUGAGGAGUACUUGAAAACUCCCUUCCCUUGGAAUUCGGAAAAUUUUCAGGUUUGAUACGAUACUUUGAAAAAUUGUAUCUCACAUUCUACAUGUUAAAAAUUGGAAAACUUAGUACCAUUGGAAACCUCUUUGAAAGUACUAAAAGUUCUUAGAAGACACUUUUACAUGAUUCUGAAUGAAAGAUAGUCAAAAGUGGGCUCAAAGUUACUGUCUCGGAGUACUUUAGGUUGUGUCGGGGUUGGUUUUUCGCUAACUUUGGAAAUUCGGAAAAAUUCACACAUUGCGAACCAGCCUCUGAAAUUUGUAAAUCAAUUAGAGUUGCAAGUAAGGUUUAGAACAGAACAAGCAGAUCAAGAAUCGGAGUUUCGAGCACCGAGAUACGGUAGCUCAAAGUUGGGGAAAAUUCGAAACUGUUGAACAAAUUUUCAGAUUUGAGUUUCCGACUUUGGGACUUUAGUUAGGUAUCGAAACGGACUUGGAUGGGUACAAACUUUGGCAAUACAACACUCCUAUAUAAAGGGUAUCCCUCUACCAAAUUUCAUGGAAAAAUACCUUCGGGAAGGUAGUCAACUAACCAACUAAAGUUUCAAAAAAUUCCUAAGGCAAAGCUGCCUUAAGCUUUUCGUUCUUCAUUUCCAAACAUUUGGCCCAGAAAAUCCUUCAAACUUGGUUCAUUUGUGUAGGCAAAGCCUAAGAAACAUUUAUGGUACAUUUGGUAAGUGUUUAACUCCAAGAAAUUCAAUUGACAAGUUCACACCAAACUUAGUAUCAAAUCUGCCCAGAAUUUAGGGUUUUCAAGAACAGGGCAGGUUUCGUAUUUUGAUCACAAAUCACUCAAUUCAACUCAGAAUUGAGAAUGGUUGGUGGCGUUGGAAAACACAUUCAUAAAGAUUUAAUUUCUCAGAAGAAAUUGUUUUGAAAUUCAGCACACAACUAGCUCAAAUUCGAGCCUCAAGUUGCAGCUUCUGAACUUCGUUCCAGGAAAACAGAGAAACAGGACAGUCAUCUUUAAAUGGUUGGUACGGGCUGCUCGGGUGGAAUCUGGGAUUGCAUUUUAUACCAUUGGGAAUCUGGGAAUGUCUAGUUUCAAAUGCCACUGACGGCACUCGAUUUCUACAUCGGAGUACAGAGUUAUGAAUGAAACAAGCAAGCUGUCUGAGCAUUACGGGAACAGUUCCUAGGCUCACCAGCUUCACGAAAAUAAUUCAUUUGACCAACCAAAUCUCAAUAUUUCUCAAUGAAAUUUUAUACACCAUCUAUACAACAUAUAAACAUCAUAUACAAGCCAUUAAACCCUCAAAAUUCUGCAGAAAAGGGUAAAAUCAAAGCAGGGACAAAAUUAGAACUUUUUACUCCAUGCACUCCUUGAAGUUUCUACUAGUUAUACACCAUUAAUCUACCAUUUUGAGCACUAAACCAACAUUAAAUCCAUCAUCAAGCAUGAGAUCAGUCCCCAAGACAAAGGUGGGAGUUCAUAGAGCCCACCCAUUUCAUUUUACACCAUAAACAAGCUAACCAAUGGCAUAAAUGAACUUAACUAGGUAAGAUAACCUCCAAAUGACAAGUUUCUAAGGUUGGAUCAUCACUCACUUGGUUGGAGGUUCAAGAGCAGAAUUUCGGUCACUCUUUGCUCCAGAAAACCAUGGCUUUUCAGCUCCCUUUUGCAGCUCAAAAUACUCUUCAAGUGUUAAGCUAAGUGUGGUGAAAUUUUGGUAGGAUUUGAGUGAAGAUUUGGUGAGGUUUUGUGAAGUAAAAAUUGAGAGAGCAAUGGUGGUUUGAGAGAGAGGGAUGGCCGGCUGAAAUGGUGAGUGGAGGGAGAAGAGAGUGAUCAGAAUUUAGCUUCCAAGAGAAGCUUCAAGUGUGUGGCCCAUUUGUGCAAAAGUCAACUCUACUACCACGCGCACUCGCGCGCGUUUCGUGCUCGAUUCCUCUCGCAUUUGUUUCACUAGUGCACUAAACCUCUAAUGCACUUAUAUUCAUAUAAAUAUUAUUUACUCUCAAUUGUCCCAAAAUAAGGGUCUAACGUUCCUCAAUUUAAAUCGCGCGUGUGAAAACGCGUAUCUCCAAUUUAAGCGCGAUAACGCGAAACUUUCGAGAAAUUCUUAUAACGACAGUACUAAUAACUAUCACUUGAGUAUUUAAACAUUAAAAUAUCUAAUUUAGGUCCAUUGCACAAAUCUCCAAUAUUCCAAACUUAUUGUACUCUCAAUCGGUCAAGAUUUCCAAAGACGUGUUCACUAUUUUCUCUAAACGAGCUUCCGGAAAUUAAUUUUUGAAACAAAUCACUUUAAAAAAUAUAAUGGAGUUAUAAUUCCAUGUAAUUAGGGUUAAUAGGGCUAGAAAAUAAUAUUCGGAGAAAUCGGGUGAGUAAAUACUUAUUUGAGCCAGUAAAAUAAAUAAAAUAAGCAAAAUUUUCGGGUCCUCACAGCUUAGUCAUGUAGAUCCUAGUGUCUUUGCCAUGGCUUUCCAAUUUGUUCAAGGUUUUCAACUACAACAGCAGCAACAACAAGGGCAGCAAAAAGAAGAUAAGAAUCUUAAACAUCAUUUUACUGAUCUUAGUAAAGUGAAUCUUCCCACCUUUGAUGGAACUACGGACCCUAAUUUAGUGGAGCAAUGGCUGUCUAACGUUGAGAAGAAAUUUAAAACAAUGCAAGUUUCUGAAGACAUCAAACCACAAGUUGUGACCUCGUUCCUAGUUGGAGAAGCUGAAAAAUGGUGGAAUGGAAUGGCCCUUAUUUGUAAUACACCCAAGCAUCCCUUGACAUGGUCUAAGUUCAAGGAAGUGUUCUUGAAAAAUUAUUUCCCUCCGGCAAUUUGGAUUCAUAAAAUCCAAGAGUUCAAUAAUUUUAAGCAAAACCAAACAUGUUCAUGUUAGAGUGUUACUCUGAGUUCAAAGCUUUGGGUUGAUUUGUUCCUUCCACCAUGGCCAAGAUAUGCAAAUGUUGGAUGAAGAAUUUAGGGUGCGAAGAGGUAGACAACCACCAAUGUCAAAUCCAUUGACAAGACAAGAAAGUACAUCUCACCAAGCUCCUCCAAGGCGUGGACCUCCACCUAGUCCUGUGGAUGGUCAAGCUAAAGUAUGUGAGCAUUGCAGCCAAGCUUACCCGAGUGAGUACCAAUGAAGAACUGGGGUAUGUUUCCGAUGUGGUCAGAUUAGGAAUAAGAUAAACGCAUGUCAUCUACCUAAGGAAGCUUCAACUUCAACUUCAAUAGCUACACUAGGAGGUAGUACUAAUAGUGCUAACAAGUUGAAUGCGAACUCUAAAGUCUAUGUAACGACUAAUCAGGAGGUGGAAGGACGUAGUGAUGUGACGAGAGGUUUGGUGACUAUAAAUUCCAUUCAUGCCUAUGUUAUAUUUGAUUGUGGUGCUUGCCAUUCAUUUAUUUCUAUGAAAUUUGCACGAAUGUUGGAUGCUAAUUCUACUCAUUUGGAUGACCCAUAGCUAUUUGGAUUAAGAGACUGCCUAUGUACAUAUUCUAACUUGGAAAGGGCAUGAGUAUCCUUAUAAUUUACUUGUAUAUUAAGUACAACUUGUCAAUUCAUGACAUUUUUUUAUCUUUUCAAAUUUUUUAUAGUUUCAAAAAAAAUUAUUGAAAAGUUUAACCUACUUACUGAAGUUCAUUUUUCAAAUUGGCUCUAGAUUUUAUGACACCCAAUUUAAAUAGUCUGGUAGAUAUCCUUCGUAGUAUAGUGUACUUCUAUACUUAUAGAAUGUACUCAUUCAUAUUUUUAAGAAUUGAAAAUCAGAACUACCAUAAAUCUCACUAUCAUUUUUGUACAUCUUUUCACUAAUAAAGUACACUACAGAUAUUAAUUUUAUUAUUUGAAGAUAUAGACUAUAAAUAUCGAUAUGUAGACCAACAUCCUAAUAAAGGCAUAAGAGUUCUUAAUCUAGUGGUUAAGGUUGAAAUUUCAGAAUUUAGAUAUCUUAGAUUCAAAUCCCCUUUGCCUUUUUUCCACCUCUUAAAUCCCACACCUCUUCUGCUUUUUUCUUUUAAAUCACACUAAAAGAAUUGUUUAAGUAUGCAUUCUGCAUUGGUUUGAAUUACAAGAUUGUCUAUAUACAUUUGCCAUUUGAAAUGGGCAUAAAAAUCCUAUGAUUUACUUGUAUAUUAUGAAAUUCAAAUCAUAAUAUUUUAUCUUUUUUAAAUUUUUAUGGUUUCAAAAAUAAUUAUUGGAAGGCCUACCUUAAUUAAUGAAUUUUACUUUUUCAAAUCGACCCUAAAUUUUAGGAAAAAUCUGGUAUACAUCAUCCAUAACAGGGCUGUACCUUUAUAUUUAAAUAGAAUGUACUCAUCAUACUUGACCACAUUUAGAACCAGAAGUAUGUAUAUUGUACACCUUAUCGGUUUUGAAGUAUACCAUUUUAUUUAUAAUUUACCUUAUUUAAUGAAUUUCAUUUCUUCAAAUUGGCUCCAAAUUUCAGGACAUCCAAUUAAAAUAGAAUGGUGUAUAUCAUCCAUAAAUUGGUACACUUCUAUACUUACAUAAUGCACUCAUCCAUAUUUCUAGCCAUUGGAUAUAACAACUUCCAUGAACCUAACAAUCAUUUUUCUAUUGAAAUACACAUUUUCACUAAUAAAGUAUGCCUUGAUUGCGCAUAUCAUUUUCUUAAUUCCUAAUAUAUACUGAAAUUUUGAACUAUGACCUAACAUCCUAAUAAAAUGUAUGCUUAAGUAUGCACUAUUUGCCCAUUUAGAUUAAGAGAUUGUUUAUGUAUAUACAUUUACUAGGAAUUAGCAUAAAUAUCAUUAUUAUUACUUAUAUAUUUAUUACGCCUUGUCAAAUCAUGAUGUCUUAACUUUCAAAAUAUUUAUAAUUCUAUAAAAAUUAUAAUAAAAUUUACCUUACUUAGUACAUUUCACUUCUUCAAUUGGCUCCAAAUUUAAUACCACGCCAAUAAAAUAGUUUAGUGUAUGUCAUCUACAACAAGGUGUACUUCUAUACCUGUAGAAUGUACUCAUCCAUGCGUCCAGCCAUUGGAUAUAGCAAAUACCACAAGCCUCAAAUAUUAUUGGGUUAAUCACAUUUAAUCCCCUUAAGGUAUACCCUAUUUUUCAGUUUACCCCGUAACCUUUAAUUUUGCUCACUUAACUCCCUACAGGACAAAAUUGCCCUUGCAUUAUUUUGACUUUUCAUUUAUCUUGUUUUCCUUUCUUUUAUUUCUUUUUCUCUUUCUUCUUUAUUUAAUUCUUCCUCUUUCCCACAAAAAUCUUCACCUUAAUGAUUGAAAUUAAAAAAGAGGAAUUACAGAGAUCUAUCUUCUCCUUAAAUGAUUAAAAAAAUAUUCAAAUCACUUUCCUAAUAUACGAUUUUUUUAGCCUUUCAAUUCUUUUAAUUUUGGGUUUUCCUCUUUCCUUUCUAGUUUCUCAUUUUAUUCCCAAGAAAAAAUCUUAAGAUGAAAUUGUGACCUGAUUAAUAAUCAUCAAUUGAAAUUUGUGACACGUGGCAUCAUACAAAAAAUCAAAAUUAGUUUUUGAUGCCUUUUAAACCUUCACCCAGAAAUAUGCAAUUACAAACUCAAAACAAAAAUUUUAGUUGAAAUGGAAUUUUCUAUUGGGAAGGAUGAAAGAGAGAAGAAAGAGAAAAAGGAAUAAAGAAAGGAAAACAAUUUCAUCUUAUGAUAUUUUCUUGAGAAUAAAAUGAGAAACUAGAAAGGAAAGAGGAAAACCCAAAAUUAAAAGAAUUGAAAGGCUAAAAAAUUAUAUUUUAGGAAAGUGAUUCGAAUAUUUUUUUUAAUCAUUUAAGGAGAAAAUAGAUCUUUGCAAUUCUUCUUUUUUAAUUUCAAUCAUUAAGGUGAAGAUUUUUGUGGGAAAGAGGAAGAAUUAAAUAAAGUAGAAAGAGAAAAAGAAAUAAAAGAAAGGAAAACAAGGUAAAUAAAAAGUCAAAAUAAUGCAAGGGCAAUUUUGUCCUAUAGGGGGUUAAGUGACCAAAAUUAAAGGUUAGGGGGUAAACUGAGAAAUGGGGUAUACCUUAAGGAGAUUAAAUGUGAUUAACCCAAUAUUAUUUUUCUAUUGUAAUGUGCACAAUGUAAUCGUGCAUUAACAAUAGGGUUAAUCACAUUUUAUCCCCUUAAAGAAUAUCCCAUUUCUCAGUUUACCCCCUAACAUUUAAUUUUGCUCACUUAACCUCCUUUAGGACAAAAUUGCCCUUGCAUUAUUUUGACUUUUCAUUUACCUUGUUUUCCUUUUUUUUAUUUCUUUUUCUCUUUUUUCUUUAUUUAAUUCUUUCUCUUUCCCACAAAAAUUUUCACCUUAAUGAUUGAAAUUAAAAAAGAGAAAUUGCAGAGAUCUAUCUUCUCCUUAAAUAAUUAAAAAAAUAUUCAAAUCACUUUCCUAAAAUACAAUUUUUUUAGUCUUUCAAUUCUUUUAAUUUUGGAUUUUCCUCUUUCCUUUCUAGUUUCUCAUUUUAUUCUCAAGAAAAUAUCAUAAGAUGAAAUUGUUUUCCUUUCUUUUAUUUCUUUUUCUCUUUCAUCCUUCCCAAUAGAAAUUUCAUUUCAACGAAAAUUUUUGUUUUGAGUUUGUAAUUGCAUAUUUCUGGAUGAAGAUUUAAAAGGAAUCAAAAACUAAUUUUGAUUUUUUGUAUGAUGCAACGUGUCACAAAUUUCAAUUGAUGAUUAUUAAUCAGGUCACAAUUUCAUCUUAAGAUAUUUUCUUAGGAAUAAAAUGAGAAACUAGAAAGGAAAGAAGAAAAUUCAAAUUUAAAAGAAUUGAAAGGAUAAAAAAAUUGUAUUUUAGGAAAGUGAUUUGAAUAUUUUUUUUAAUCAUUUAAGAAGAAGAUAGAUCUCUGCAAUUUCUCUUUUUUAAUUUCAAUCAUUAAGGUGAAGAUUUUUGUGGAAAAGAGGAAGAAUUAAAUAAAGAAAAAAGAGAAAAAGAAAUAAAAGAAAGGAAAACAAGAUAAAUGAAAAGUCAAAAUAAUGCAAGGGCAAUUUUGUCCUAAAGGGGGUUAAGUGAGCAAAAUUAAAGGUUAGGGGGUAAACUGAGAAAUGUGGUAUUCUUUAAGGGGAUAAAAUGUGAUUAACCCUUAACAAUAUUAUGUCACAAUUUAUGCAUUAUAGUUUGAAUUAUAAAUAGGGUUAAUCGCACUUUAUCCCAUUUAAGUAUAGGUCGUUUCUCACUUUACCCCCCCAACGUUUGUUUUUCCUCAGUUUACCCCUUCCGUCAGCAAUUGCACCGUUAAAAACUUUAAGAUUUCGAAUUUACCGUACGAAAAGGGCCGUUGGUUUUAGCAGACAACAAUGCCCCUCAAUGGUGUCUGAUGCUUUUAACCUACCUUUUCCCUCAAAGAGCCGUUGGUUGGUUGGUUUUAGCCGUUGGUUGGGUUUUACAAAAGGAGGUAUUUUGCACCCAAUUUUUCUCAUACAUUCUCAAAGGUUCCAAAGUUUCUAAAAUUUCUCUCCAAAGUUCCUAAAAUUUCUCUUUGUCAACCAAAAGCAUCAUAAAAUGUCACAAAGUGCGUCAAAUGAUGUUGGAAGAUCACCCCAAAAAAUGUGUGGAUGUGGUAAAGAGGCACCAUUGUGCACGUCUUGGACACUUGAAAAUCCGGGAAGAAGAUUUUACGGCUGCUCAAAUUACAAUGUAAGAAUUUUUCAUUAAUAAUUUGUUAAUAUUGUCUUUAAUUUUGCUCUAUACCUGAAUUAGUUAGAAAGAGUUUAAACAACUAAUUAUUUUUUUAAUUUAGAACCGACACGUAUGUGGGCACUUUGAAUGGGUAGAUCCUGAAGUAUGUAGCCAAACAAAAGAAGUAAGUGUAGUGCUGCAAUCUAGAUUGCUGGAGCAAAAGGAGAAACUAAUGUACUUGCAAAGGAAGCAUGAAAAAUUGGCAAAUGAGCAUGAGAAAUUGAAAAGCAGAUAUGAAGCCUUAAAAACAGAAGUCUGCGUCUUACAAGUUGAAAACCAACAGCUACAGCAACAAUACAUGAUGGUCAAAGCUGCUCGAUUUUCAUCAUGGAGAAAAACACUAGCCAUUACAUUUCUGAUUGCUAGCAUUUUGUAUAUGUACUCUAUUUCAGAACCAAAAAGUAACAAAAAUCUGCUUUAUCUACCAUAGUUGUAAGCAAAUAUGUAUGAAAGAAAAUUAUAUUAAGUUAAAAGUAUUUUACACAUCAGAUUACAUCUUAGCAUGUGUCUGCAUGGCCACCCAAACAAAGGCCAUUUUAGUAGAACCCAGCCAAAAUAUGAUUCUAGAACAUGUCCAAAUAAUGGGAAAAGAAAAACAACAUCAGCAUUUCUAACAUUGCUGCAAAGGUAACUUCAAAUACUAGUAAUGACAAAAAUAGCAACAGCAACACCAUUUCACAUCAAAACACAUUCAGGUGUGCGCAUAACUGUUGAACGUCCAGUUGCAGCAGUUGAAGAUCCUUGGGUAGAAAACACAGCAUCUCCAAAUCUAAUACUCUUGGUUUGAACCUACAUGGAUGAGGGGCAUCUUAGUGCAUCAAACUACUACUAGGGGUGGUAGCAUGUAAACAUAGCCAAAAGACUUGAACUCACCAUUCCAGUUUUAGUAGCACCUGAAUUGGUUUUAGAACUUCCAGUUUUAGCAUCACCCAACUUGGUUCUUGGUCUUUUAGUUGUUACUGAAGUGGUUGCUUUUGAACUUGUACAUGGUACGCUGGUGGGAGCAACAACAGUAGUUGAACUCAAAUUGGCACCAGAUGUAGGUGUUCUUGUCCACUAUAUCAUCAAUAGGAAACAAUAAGUGAGCACGUAUAAAAUGGCCAUGCAUGCAGAGUUUUAAAAUGUAGGCUCACCAGUUGGGUUGGAGGGGGCUGGCCAGUCUUUGAAGUACUUGGAAUCUGCAUAAUAAAGGUAGUUUUUAAUCAUUGCAAGUGUCUAAAAUUAAAUUAGUUACAUACAAAUACAAAAGGAACUCACCAUGCUAGACUCAAAUGGGAUAUAUGUUUUACUUGUUGAUAUCCCUUGACCAUUCCAAAGUCCAAUGCCACAUAGUGGCCCAUUGUUAUGGUCUGAACCCCUACCCUUACCCCUGCCCCUACCUCUACCUCUCAUUUUAGCUCUAGUUGGGCCUCUUGCAGUUGUAGAUUUAGUCACAUCAGCAUUUUGCACAACAUCAGCAUCAGUAUUUCUUUCAACAUCAGCAUCAGCAUUUGUAGAGUGGCCUCUACCAGCUCCUCUCCCUCAUUUAGUAGGCCCUUGCAUCUUGCAAUACAUCAAAAAAUGACAGUCAGAUGUAGAUAGAAAAAAGCCAAGCAACAUAUAUUGAUUGAAGUUACCUGUGCAGUCACUGAUUUUCUUUGCCUCACAAAUGAACAACCAGUGACCUUGCAACUUCUGGCAUUGUGGUCAGUAUGACCACAAUGACUGCAGUGAAUUGGCAGCCCUACUUUAGAUAGUUUUCCAACAUGUAAGUCCUCCAAUUGAGCCUUUUUUCUAACUUUCUUAGGCCUGCCUGGAGCUAUCUUCCUACGAGGUGGGAGUAAUGUAUCACUGCUAGCAUUCACCCAAUUUGUUUGGUCUGGCAUAGGCAUAAUAACACCAGCAUAUGCCUUUACAUAUAUUUCUACUGAGUAGCAAUUAUCAACAUAUGCAUAUGGAUCUUUGUUGUCUUGCACAAGUCCAGCACAUGCAUGGACACAUGGAAUUCCUGUCAUAUCCCACUCAUUACAUGUGCAAGACCUUUGAACUGCAUUAACAGCAAAAGUUCCUACUAUACCAGUCACCUCAUACACCUCUCUUGUAGACACAAGUGCAUCAAACUGAGCUACCUGUUUUUUCCUCUCUUCAAUUUUCUGACAGAUCCUCGGACAAAUAUGAGACUUCACCUUCUGAAUCCAGUCUCUUUUUUCUUGAAAUCUGCACAUAAUCUGUCUUCGAAUGGCCUCAAACAUAGUCAAAAUAGGCUCUUCCCUAGCAUCCUUAAUGUAUUGAUUGAAGCUCUCACAUAUAUUAUUACUUAAAAGGUCACAUUUUGUCCUUGGAGAAAAGGUGUGUCUGGCCCAUAGGUUAGCUGGUAUGGAACUAAACCAUGCAUGUGCUUCUGGGGCUACUAAAUGUAACUCUCUCAUUUUGCUUUCAUAAUGACAGGGUAAAUAAGCCCUGGCUGCCCCCCACAUUAAAUCUCUUAGGUGCUUAUCCUUGAAUUUCAGUUUGAAAUUAGCAUACAUGUGUCUAACACAGAAUCGAUGCUCCACUCCAGGAUACUUAUUCUCAAUGCAAUCAAUUAAUCCCUGACAUAAAAACAUAAAUAACAGAAUUAGUGAAAGGAGUGAGUGAGGAAUAAUGGAAAGUAAAUCAGAUUGUAGUGGUGCUGACCUUUUGUCUAUCUGAUAGAAACACCCAACCCCUUUCAAUUGGAGUGCCAAUGGCAUCAGUAAGGCUGUCCAAAAACCACCCCCAACUAUCUUUGCAUUCAGAUUCAACAAGUGCCAUAGCAAUUGGGAACAUCUGGUUAUUAGCAUCCCUACCAAUUGCAGACAUAAGCUGUCCUCCCAUGAUCCCCUUAAGGUGACAUGCAUCCAGUCCUAUUACAGGCCUACAUGCAUUUACAAAACCUUCUUUUUGUGCAGUAAACAUCACAAACAUUCUCUUGAAGAUUGGACUUUUACAAAUAUUGGACUUUUCAGUUACAAUAAAUGCCACUGAACCUGGAUUUCUUUGUAAAAGUGUAGCACAAUAGUCUCUUAAUCUUGCACCCUUUCACUGCUUCCUCUGCUUUCUCUCUUGCUCUAUACAUUUGAGAGUUUGUACAGUUCAGGUUAUACUUCCUUUUUAUGCUCUUCUUGAACCCUUUUACUUUCAUAUCCGGAUGGUCAGCAAUGUCCUCCAUAAACAUCCUAGACAGCCACCUAGAAUUUGCACUCUUGUUCUUGAAAGACCAUGGACAUCUAUGAGGUACGCCUUUAAUGGACUUCACUUGAAGUGUAACUUUGCUUCCAUUAUAGCCACUAGCAUAUAUUCUCCAUCCACAUUUAUUUGAACAUAUAACCACAGCUUUAUCUUUGUCAUUCUUAGUGAAGGUAACUUCAAACCCAUUCAAAAUUGAAUACAUUCUAACUGCAGCUCUAAAAUCAUAAAUAUUGCUAAAAAUUCUGCCUACAGUCAAUUCAGGAUUUUUUAGAUCCCUUUCCAUGUUAAACUCAGGAAAUUCAUGCUCCAUGCCUUCAUCAUUUGAAUCAUAAACUGGUUUAAGUAUUUCAUCAUCACUAACAUCUUCAUCAUCGACCAGUUUUCCAUGACCUUUGGAGUUAAGGUAUGCAUUAUAUUCUUCACUAAUCAGUGCCACAUACUUAGCAUAAUCAGUCUGUUUUAGGUGACAAUCUACUUUACCACCAUCCCUCUCUACAUCAUCUAUAGGGUCACAUGCAUCAUUUAAAUCAUCCCCAUCUAGGAAAAAAUCAAAGUCAGAGUCAUAUUCAACUUCCCUACAACCAUCCCUAUCACCUUCCUGUGAAGCAUCUGAAGCAUCACUUUCGGCCUCAUCAUUUUGGGGUUGAUCAGCAUUAGGAUUUAGAUUUUGUUUACCAUUAACCUCAAUAUUAUCCUCUGCAACAGUUCUAUCAGCAUGCAAAUCUUCUUCAGGGAUCUCACCAACAUAAAGUUGUAUGAUGUUUUGAGUUCUAUUUGCCUCAAACAUUUCUAUAACAAUCUGGUCACUGUUUAACAGUUUAAGACCAACCUUAAAGUCAAGCUUCCUAACCCUAUAGUACACCUCUGUUUCAUGUGAUAUUCCAGCAUCUUUAAAAGCAUCUCUUAACUCAAAAAUUGACAUCAAAUCAGGGUCAACAUAAUCAAAAUUAGCAACUUCUCCCCCCACAUACUGUAAAUUUGGGACAUAGGCAAAAUGGCCUCCAUAGUGAACCUCUAAAACAUAGGUUUUGAAGUCCAUUCUUCUGUAAUCACACAAAGGUAAUUGUUUUUAGUGCAUGCACAGGUAAUACAGAGCAAGUAUCUUUUAUUGUCCCACAAAAAUAAAAAAUCCUAGUUUGUCUAUCUAACAGCCAACAUAUAACCAUCCAAAUAAACAAAAAAUCCAGCAAAUUAAUAAUUAAAAAAGACAAACCCAUCAUUUUCCAUCCUAACCCGACAAUGACUUGUUAUGAACUUUAAGGGACCACACUAACAGAUUUCAAACAAAUAAUUGUCUACAUAUUAAAGCCCAUGCAGUCAUUAAAAAAACCCAUACCAUUGUUUCUGUGCAAUAAAAUUGAUUAACAAUUAGAAAUUUCUAAAAUCGAGAAAAAAUUGCAAAAUCGAACCUCAUAGAUCUGCCCAAGCUCUCAUAAUCUCCUUUCACAAUCUUCAAAUUCAAUUCUGCCGUCUGUUAACAACCACAUCGAUUACCCAUUUUUUCAUUCAAGAUUGCACCAGAAUUUUCAAUUUUGUUAGUGGAGGUUUUGCUAAGGUUUCGGGCACCAGUGAAGAGAAAGUAACCCGACAAAGAAAAAAAGGAAGAGAAAGUGACCCGACAUAGUCAAAAGGGGACCUUUGUCUGUUCUGUUCCCUAAUUUCUUUUUCUUUUUCUGUCCUAUGCCAUAUGGAGGGAAAUUUCCCUCCAUUAUUUCAGGGUAAUUUUGGAAACUUGCAUUUCAUAAACCAGCGUAUAUGGGUAUUUUGGGUUGUUCAAUGUUUUGAUAAGGAUAUUAUUGUCUUUUCAAUAUUCUGUUUAGGUCUAUUAGAGGUGACCGUUAGUUUUUGGGGUAAACUGCGGAAAAACAAACGUUGGGGGGUAAAGUGAGAAACGGCCUAUACUUAAAUGGGAUAAAGUGCGAUUAACCCUUAUAAAUAAACACAAUGCAUUCUGUAUCCAUUUAGAUUUAUUUUUCUACUAUAAUGUGCACAAUGCAAUUGUGCACUAACAAUAUUAUUUCACAAUUUACACAUUACAGCUUGAAUUAUAAAUCAACACGAUGCAUUCUGUAUCCAUUUAGAGUUAGAGAUUAUGCAUGUCCAGGUAUAUAGACAUGUAUACAUUCACAUACGCACACACACAUAUAUAUCUAUAUAUAUAUAGACAUUAAUUUCACUUCUAUUGACUUUUUUAUCCAUAUGAAUGUAUAAAAAUAUCCAUUGUGUUUAUGUUGAUUGUAAAAUUAUGAAUAAGGUUGGUUCUAAAUUAUGUAUAUCUACACUACAGAAGUAAUGGUGUACACCUUCUUGUACAUUGAGUACAAAAAUUAUAUUAGUAAAUACAAGUGUCUGAUAACUACAUCAAUGGUUUACACUCGUGAUGAUUUGGGGAUUUCAUUUGGAAUUGGCAUUAUAUUUGAAGAUUUUUUAUUUUUGUGGUUUAGCAAUUUGCCUCAACAACAAUAUAGUUCAUUAAUAAAAUUCCAAAGAGAACCACUAACUUGAAUUCAUGGCUUCACACAUUAUAAGCAGGAUGUAUUUUGUUUUCGUUAUGAUAAAUUUGGUGAAUUGUAAUAUAAGUCAUCGACAAUAAUGGUUAUAAUUAUGUAUUGGUGCACUUUGGUUGCUAUAAGUACACUUUUUUGUACACUAAGUAUGACACAUUGAAUUAUAAUGUGCACAACAAUAUCUUUUGGACUAAUUUACUUAUAUGACUAAUAUGGAGUACUUUUGUUAAUACACUUAGCACAAUGCACUGUAUUAGCAUAUACGCAUGCAUUAAACAAUUGAUCACACAUAACUAUGAUCUUAGGGACUUGAUUGAGGAACUAUGAUGAGACUAAGUAAUUGAACUCCUUUGGACUUUAAAAAUGAGAUGUUGCAAUUCUCAAUGUGUGUAGUGAAGAAGUCAAAUAUGUAGCAUAUUACAUAAGAUUAUGAGUGAAUUGUUUAACAAUAUUUGUGCACGUUUUUAUUAACUUCACACCGUGUACAACUUUGUUUUGAUGAACUAUGCCAACUUUCUAAUUACAUUUACAUGCCUAAGGCACCAGUCAAGAGGAAAAACACCAUACAAAGUAACCUUGGUAAAUAAUGGAUGCAUUCAAACAAAGUUAGAGUAUACAUUUACAAUUUUAAUGUGUAUACCUUUAUAGCGUAAAAGUCAAAUGGUUCAAAUGUACAUUGGACCCUUGAUAUUGAAAACCAUCAAAUGAUGCAUGUGCAUAAUGUCCCCACAAUUUGAAUAGUCAAAAGUGCCAAAUGAUUCAUCUACAAAUGUGGUUAGAUACAAUGAGAAAAAAAAAUAUCAUUGCUAUUUCUAGAAGCAACAAAAAGCAACACGAAAUUAAUUUCACAUAGUAAUCUUUGCUCCCAAGGAAAUAGAGAACUAAAUUAAUAUCAUCAAAUAUCUGACUAAAGAAGAAUCAAUAGAGUAAAUCUUGUAAAUGCAAACAAUAUAGACACUAUCAUAAUUAAAUGAAUGCCACAUAAGUGAAAUUUACAUUUAAAAUUUAAAUUCAGCGUAUAUGACAUUCAUUCAAACGCAAUAGUGUAUAUACUGUCAAUGUAUAGAUAAUUAAUUCAAAUUAAUAUCACCAAAUUCUUCCAUCCUUUUAUGGUCUUUUCUUUUGUUCCGACCAUAUGGGAUGUGAAUUUGAUAGAUUUAAUUUUCUCUUUCUUAGUUUAUUCCACUUCCAGGAAAAGCCAUUAAUAACGCCAUAAAAAUUUUAGCAACUAACAAACCAUUUAAGAAAGUUGAGCUCUAACUACAAUUCUUGCAAGGUAAGAACAAAAUAAUAUAAAGUACAACCACUACAAUAUUCCCUGAGAUUUCCCAAGCCUUCCAAAAUAGAGGAAUAGACAAGCAUCCUUUCUAUUGUAGUAAAAUACUUGACAUUUGAGGAAAAUAAUGACAAGCAUUAGUAGAUAAAUUAAAACUAAGAACUCAAGAGACUUCCAAGCAAUAUCUAAAUAUUGUAAAUGACCAACUAAUCAAUUCAAAUAGCUCUCUAAAAAUUACAAUCUUAAUAAGAAAAAAUAAAAAUUUUCCUAGCCCAUAUAAACACAAAAGUUAACUCAGUCAUAGUGACCCAUAAUUCACUCAUAUGAGGAUAGUUUUCAUGCACAAAUUAAAGUUUAGAGCAAAUAAAACCAUCUUUACAUAACAGCACCAGUAAGUCAUCAGCACCCACCAACAGAACACAAUUAUCUUUUAUACAAAUACGUCCAAUUGAAGUUUAGAGCAGAAAAGAAAGAAAAAAAUACUACUAUUUGGCCCUAAAAAUUUUGUAAUGUUGUUAUUAGAGAAUUUAAAUAAAUAUAGGGAUUCCACCAAGUUUCACGAGCAAGUUUAAAGUAAUAGAAGUUCUCAUCAUUUUGAAUAAAAAGUUGAAAAGUUUGAGGCUUUUGUUGUUUUGUGCAUAACCUUAACUUUGGUUUGUCAUUUUAAUAACUGUUGCAAGGGAGCGUCUAUUUGGGGAGAGGGGCUAGUGCGGUUUAUUUCCUAUCGUUUGGAAAAAAAAAAAAAAAAAAACCUAAUGCAGUUGGAGUCGGGUACGGUUUGGUAUGACUAUUAUACCUUUUAUAUUAUUUAGUGCACAAUGACAUUACAUUAUUAUAUUUGAAGUAAAAGUGGUGUACGUGAAUAAAAUAUUUGACACAUAUUUAGUACAAUAUUAUGAUGUAUUUGUACACAAAAAAUGUAAAUAUGUACAACGACCGGACAUAAUUGCACAAAAUACAAUUGUACUGAGUCCUUGUCCGUUUGGACAUUCUAAUAUACGCCUUCUGCAUAUAGCUAUUACUUAUUUUUAGUUUUCUUCAUGGGUUCACAUUUAUAUAGUAAAAUAUGUUAAACAUAUUACUUAUAAUUUCCUUAGUUCACUAAGGGCAAUAGGAAACAUUCACUAAUCCUGAGUUCAUUUUUCCCAUGAGCCAUGAAUUUCAAACUUAAAAAGUGCAAAUCCAAUUUUUUGGUUAGUUCAACCAUCUUUAUAGCACAGAUUAGAUUUAACAACAUAGAAAAUGUCAAAAACGUUAAUUGGUUAUUAAGUCACGCUUUAUUCUGCACAACUUUGAUAGACUUAUGAUUUAAUAAAGACGCACUUGUUAAAACAAUUAAGUUAUUUAGAUACAUAAACUUCUAAUUGUCAAACUUCAAAUCCUGAACUGACAUGUAAAAAUUUGCCCUUAUAAGUGAAAAAAGGUUUACAAAUCUCAUCAUUCAGGCAUUUUUGUCAAACAGAUAAUCUGCAUUGUAGAAAUUUUGAAUAUCCAAUGAACACUGCAUCUACCUUUAAACAGAACCAAUCAAAUUUAAUAAGCAGAAAUAAGGAAAAAAAGGUAUAAAACACCAUGAAUAUUUAUGUAUAAAACACCAUGAAUAUUUAUGUAUUGCAUCUCUUGUGCAAUUUGUAAUUUGUAUGGGGUGUGUAUGGUUAACAAAAAAAUAAUAAUAAUAAAACAAAAUUCCUAACGGAAGAGGCCAUUCGUUAUAUGCAUUGUGAUGUUAGAGCGGUUGACCGUAAUUUUAUAAAGCCCAAGGGAUCUUAUUGUAAUAUGAACUAUUAAUUGUAUUUUGCACCCUCAACUACUGCCAAAUCGGAGUGUGCAUCCUAAACUUUCAAUUUCCGCAACUAACUACGUUCAACUUUUAAUUUUCAGUACUCCACUACAAUAACACAACUUCCGGCGCAUCGUAGCAGAUUUCAUCUGGUACUAAUUGGCAAAAUGACCCUUUCAAACUUUUUGCUUCUUUUGUCCCUAAAAUGUGCCUUUCGGGAAAAAAAUUAAAAUGUGGCUCAAAGAUUUAACUAACAUUGUACCAAACAAGCACCAAAACAUAUGAAAGCAAAAGCGGAAAAAUCAACCGAUUGUUAGCAAAGGAUUCUUGAACCGCCAAAAAAAAAAUUGAUUACAAGUGACAAAAAAAAAGUAUCUUCUUGGAAUAGGAUCAGAAAGAAAUUGAAGAACAUUAGUACUUGGCAAAACUAAGAUUAAAAAAAAGAUUCUUGAACACCAAAAAGAUGACACAAAUCCUCAGGAAUUUUUACAAAAGAAAUAUAAAAAAUAAUAAUCAAAACAAAGAAAUGCAAAUGAAAAAGAGAAAUUGAAAUUGGUGUCGAAGCAGAUGGUACACAAAAAAGCGCUUAAUAGCCGUGGAUUGAUUAGGGGUCCUAUAAUUUUUGGACAUUCUUGCCUUCCUCGUCCAGGACUCCAAACCACCAGUUCCUCCUGGGCGAUGCUAUAUGGUAUGGUAUUGCUAAGACUAAAACCCUUUAGCAGGCCAUUUGGUGGGGGAAUAUUUUUUUCCCUUACAAUGGCAAUUGUAGUCAUGGUUUUCUACCAUCUAUUUGAAUUUUUUAACAAGAAGAAGAUGAAAAUAAAGGAAGAGGAGAAGAGUUAGUAUCUUCUAAAGAUGAAAUCUUAUACACACUGAUAGUGUAUACAUUAUCAUGGUUGAAUGCACGACAUAUAUACAAAAUUUGUAUUUCAAAAAUUCAAAUUCGGAUUAUGUGUCGUUUAUCCAAUGGUGAAAGUGUACACAUUGUCAGUGUAUAAAAGAUUGAUUAUUUCCUAAAUACUUGACUCUUAUGCAUUCUUGUGGAAGUUCAGUCAAAAGAAAUAGAGGGUAAAUUGAUCACAUGACUUCUUUUUUCCGUUUGAUUUAGCUCCAUUUUUUAUCAUGCAAAAAAUUGGGAGUAGAAGGUAGCUAAUUGCUGAAAUUAAAGUGUAGGGUGCAAAGCACAGUGUGAAGAUAGUUCAGGGGUGCAAAGUACAAUUAAUUCUAAUACUAAAUGCAUGUUUUUAUCUGAUUGUCUCGCGAGGAAAGUGCGCUAAAAGUACAAAUAUUACGUGUGGGGAAGAUACUCUAACUCCAGACAAAUUCCCUUUCCUUAUUGACUUCGGAUUCUGUAACGUCGGUUAAAUCCUCACUAUAUAAACAAACAUACUUAAGCAAUAUUUGCAGUAAAACCUGUUUCUUGAAUUUAAUCAUUCCAUCCUCUCUGCAGAUUCCCGUUAAUUUGCCCUUUGUUUCUUCCUCAAUUCUUCAGAUAUCAAAACUGCUGUAAUACUCCCCAGGGUUGUACAACUAGCCACGUUCAAGAACCACCGAUUACUGAUCUGACUGAGGAAUCAGCAAUGGAUUUCGACCAUAAUGAGAGACCUAAUUCCACGCUCUACCAGCAAUUAAUGGCUCUGCAACCUCUCUAUCCUACUGCUAGUUUAAGGGAACUGAUUUCUUUUGCUGAUGAUCUGUUUCCUUAUGCUUUGGAGGCUGACUUGAUCAGCUUGCAGGAGGAAGGGCUAAUGGGGCAAGACAAUGGUUAUAGUACUGGUAAUCUUAUGAUAAGUAGUGGGUUGCGAGAAGAUAACAUAAUCCAGCAACUAAAGAUCAGAAGAAGAAGUCGUCAUCAAGAAGAGGUUGCAGAUGAUGAUGAAGGCUUUGAAGAAAUCUGUGUGGUUUGCCAGGGUGAAUACGAAGAUGAGGAGAUGCUGGGAGCACUGGGAUGUGGACACGAGUAUCAUGUUGACUGUAUAAGAAGAUGGUUGGUGCAGAGAAAUUUUUGCCCUGUUUGCAAACGCAAAGCUAUUCAAGAACCGGACCCUCAAUUUGAAAGCAUCUCUUUAGAUAAGUAGAAUGGGGAUUUUUUGAAACUGAUUUACCUGUUUUUUGAUUAUACUACAUUUAGGUACUUUUAAUACUUAUUUGGUUAAUUUUAGUUAGUAAAUGGGUGGUAUGGGAAAGACUGCUCUGUAUACGGGAGUUGCAUACAAGAAUUUUCAUUGUUUAAAUCUGGAGACUUAGAUUUACUUUUCUUCAGAUAUUAGUUGGGGUGAUACAUGAUUUGUGGACCCUAAGUUCAAAUGCCUUCUUGAAAUUUUUGUAUAAUUGAUAGUGACAACUUGUAGUUGUUGCCAACUUCUUUUGUUCUUAUAAGCAUUAUUUGCACCAAUAUGCCUAUUCAAACUGAGGGAUUUCCUCUACUUGGCCUUCAAUUCUGUUUCCAGCUGCUACUGAUUUAGUAAUGAAAUUUGAGUAUAAUAAAAUCCCAUCUUUUCUCUGUUCAAAUUGUUGAUUGCUCAAUGAACUUUAUACUUUGAGCAAUAUAUUGAGCAGGAAAACAGAAAUAUUGGAUCUAAAUAUUGGCAGCAAGGUGGUUAUUAUCCUCAUCUAGGGGACCUUAUACAAGUUCUAUUGCAGAUAUUUUUGGAUUGGCAAUUGGCUUUCUACACCCUUCUUCGUGGGAGGAAUUACUCACUGCAUAGAACUGGGGGAUGCUUUCUUGUAGUAGAUGGUAUCGUUUUUGGCGUUAUGAGGUUUUAAUAAUCUUCUCAUCCUUAGUUUUCGAAUUUAAUUACUCAGUACUGUUAAUGACUGACUUCUUAAAUUUCAUCAACAUAGAAUGUUGAAAAGCCUGUAGAUAAUUAAUGACUUAAGAGACCAUUCUUUGCUUGGACAAAUCUGCUCAAAUUAGAGCAUAUGGGCCAGAUCCGAGGCAGAAGUUUGAACCAAGAAGAAUGAAACUGGACACCUUCAGAACCGUUGCCUAGAGGGGAUCCGUGCGCGCGGAUCCAUCCGGGGAUCCUCUUUGGAGCACUUUGGAACGUUUUUUUCUGUACUUCUUUUGAGCAUCUCCUCUGACCAUCCAACCAUACACCUUCAGGCGCCUGAAUGGACACAUAUGAUGAAUAUGCAAAAGUUGUCCUCUUCAUUGUAGAAUGACUUUUAACAAGGUUGAACAGCACCUUUGAAGGUCCUCUUGAAUGUUUUGCUAGAACUCUUCAGGAACAAUGAAGAUGCAAAGGUAGAUAGGUCUCAAACACUUGGCAGCAACCAGAUUUGUACCAUUCCCCCUCUCUUAAAGGCGAUUUAUCUUCAAAUCAUGCACUUACUUAUAAUGAAGCGACUUGAGAAAUGUCGUGAUGAACGCAAGCCACAUAGCAUGUCGCCUACCCAAUUUUACUACGCACAUGAUCCAACACACGUUCUCCCUCACAUCCUAUUUGUCAUGAACACGUAUCCAAGAACUCAUGAUCAUCAACUUCAAUGGAUAGGAUAAUUGAAGCGUAGCUAUGAAUUCUUGGACCUCUAUCAGAUUCGUUCCCUUCCCUGUAGGUUAGUAGAUGUAGAUAUGUGGCGAUUGACAACCAAAAAAAAAAAAAACAGAACAUGAAUCAAGUUGGGCUGCUGUACACCUUUCCCAAAUCAGUUUUACGAAAUGACAUUUUGCUGAUUUCCCAAAGAGCCUUGGUACAAACAGUCAGGAUAAAUGAUAUCAUAGAGGAUAAGUUGGCAAUCUAAUCCUCAUUAGGACUGACCUUUCGUAGAUGGAGAGAACAAGAAGAGAUUAAUUUUCUUCUUCUCUGACUGAACUUAGAUUCUGUAUAUAAUCUAAUAAAAAAUGUAGCUGAAAUCUGUGAGCUUCAGCAUGAAUUUUCCUUGAAGUGUUGCUCAUGACUGGGGAUAGCUAAAGAUACCAAUUAUGUAUGUGUUAACCAUUUCUGGGUGAUGGAGCAGCAGAGCUAACUAUGGCAUAUGGUUUUGGUGAUCUAUGAGUAACUAAAUUGCAGUUCAGCUAAACGGAGAAACAAAAACAUGUUGUGAGGAUGAGUAUGAUCUUGAAAAUGCAGAGCCAAAAUAGUAUUUAUUUGCGUCAUAACUACAAAUCGAUCCCUUCCCUUUCCUUAACUUCAGCAAUCAAAUCACAGUAUCUGAUUGUUGGUUGUUUUAGCUUUUAAACUAUCUAGCUACAAAUGUCACAUGAGAUCUACAAAAGGCAGAUUCUAGAAGGCGAUUACAGAGCAAGAGAACUUAAUGCAUUACUUCAAAACUGAGCAACCAAUUGUAAAAAAAUCUAUAUGAUUAGAGUAGCAUUUUAACAGCUUAUUAGCCAAAAUAAGCACAUAUACAUUGAUUUACACGAGAAUUUUUAGUUCUAAACUAAUUUGACUUUGUGGUAUACGAGGCUCCUAAUAAUUCCUGCUGCAUAGAAAGUCUGCGGAAGAGAGAGGACCUCUAAUGCCAUCAUUCCUUAUUGGCACCUGAAAUCCUUCCUCUACUGAUCUCCAGGACCAGUGGAUGUCUUGGAGCUACCAGAAUGCCAUGACAAUAUCGAUCCACGGCCUCCAAAUAUAUCAUUCACCCAACCAUAAUGCUCUUGUUUAAUACCAAGAAAUGAUUAAGGCUGCAGCACAUGUUAUACAUGGUUCACAUAUGACAUAAAGUGUGCAGUUUGAACACUUAGCAGCAACUUAAGGCCUUGAAAGUCCAAUUGUCCGCCACUGGUUCAGGAGGAGAUUGACUGCUUCCAUCUCUACGUGCCUGUAGCAAUUUUGCUCCCAGUGGAUUGAUUUCUUUCAGAAACAGUAAUAUUAUUCCUCUUAUCCACAAUACCAAAACCAGCAGGCACUUCAAAGCUAUCCCAGGCAUGCUUUGCUCGGUCCAAAGAAAACUUCAUAACUGAUGUGAAGUAUCUGGUGCAAUCACAAUCUUUAAUCUUACUAUGGCUGCAAGUACAUACAUAUAUACCAAUUGAAAGGAUGGGUUUAAGAAAUUUGCUUAACACAUGACAAUGUAUUUUUAAGUUCAAGCAAAAGGAUUUACCCAGAUCAAAGUCAGAUGAAGAAACAACUCAGUAUAAUCACUUUGGGAGGAGCAGCUUCACCCCAAGGGAAUUCUGACAAAAGGUUAGGGACAUCGAAUAGAGUUGGGGAUAAAGCAAAUGAUAAGUACCAUGUAGACAAUUUAAAGGGUGCUUUAUUUCAGUUAUUGGAGAAAAAAGUGCUUGUUUUCUGUUAAUUAACAUGUUUUGUCCCUUUUCUCAAUCUGCAGGUUUUCAAGCCCACUGUGUGGUAGAAUAUUUCAAACUAAAUUGUAAAGAGUCGGAGAUAUUGUUACUCGAAACACUGGAGUGAUUGAUGCAAAUUUACUGCAGAUACAAGAAACGAAAUUGUAAUUUCAAAACAUAAAUAAAUUUUGUCCAUCUUUGCUUGAAAAACUAACCAGGCUUUCCUUACCUUUUUGUACCAAUAAGAAGACAAUUAAAUACAAAAGUAAUUUAUUGAAAGUGUAUAUAUAUACUAGGAGGGGUUCACCGCGCAUAUGCACAGUGUAAAGUUAUAUACGUCAUAUGGCCAGCAUAAAGUCCAUUGUAGUUGUUUUUUUUUUUUUUUUUUGAAAACAAAAUAGAUAAUUCAUAAUUAGUAGUAACGACUUAGAUAACUUGAUGUUCAAAAUAUCAUAUUAGCCAAGUAUGUUGAGUCAAGCCCACCCCCGUUUGGAUUGCUAUAUUUCUCAGAAAAAUUGUUACGUUUUUUGUGAACACAUUUUCUUAUCACCUUUUUACCUCACAUAUAUCAAAUCGCUAUAGUAAUUUUUUUACAAAAAAUCCAGAAAAAUGCAAUCCAAACAAAUCCAUAGUUAAAAAUUUUAUAAAUUAUUGCAAGUCGUAUUCAUAAUUAGCUAUUAAAAAACGUUUGUGGUAUGAAUACAUAUUGAAAGAACAUGGCAAUAAUUAUAACAAAAUAAUGACAUAUUAUUAUGAGUCAAUUGUAAACAUUAUCAGUUUAGAAAAAGGUAAAGAGAGAACAUGAUGAACAUUGGAGUAGAAAUUAUAUAAGCCUCUUAAAGGUCGCUAAAACACUUUCAUUAAGGGUAAUCUACUUAUCUACCAAUACAUGGCUCCUUAAAUAAAUAACCAUGUUUAGAGUUGUAUUCAGAAUUUCAUUAAUAGAACCCUUUGCUACUCUCCCAACCGGAAUCUAAAAUUUCCAUGAGUACAAUCAUCUCCUGUCAGCUACUUUGGUGUGUAUCAAGAACAUCAUCAUGUGCUUCAGAAAACUUGCUUCACUCGAACUUCAAUUAAAUUUAACUCUGGGUGCCUAAGAAUGACUUGAGGCAAUAACUGCCAUCACGAAUGCCAUCUCCAGAGCGAUGACUGAAAUGUAAUUUGAUAGGGUGUAGAUCAUCCCAAUUUUCCAACAAUUCCUUGUAAACCUUAAAAAGAGUGAGUCAGUCGGUAAGUCCAGCCCCCUUGACAGAUUUCAACCUGGAUCUUGCAUUUAUCAUGCAGAUGGUAGGCUAAGUAUAUUAGACAAUAAUUGUAGACAUGCUACUGGGAUUCCUAAGACUUGAGAAGCAUUUCUUGAAUAAAAACCACAAAGCAAAUUGGCAGUUCCUGAAAAAGACAUUUAUCGACAAUAAGUUUCUUUUUUCUUGAUAAAAACUACAAAGCGAGUUGUCAGUUCCUAGAAAAGGACAUUUAACAUCAAUAAAUUUCUUUUACAGCAUAUUCAAACGAAUAAUGGAAUGCAUGUACAUGCAGUAUAAAGAGAAAAUCUAUUUAGUAAGACAAAACCCACACCCGUGCCAAUUGAACAGAUUGACAAAAAGGGAAAAAAGUAUUUCUAAUUGGCCAUAAGUAGAAUGAUUCUAGACUAUCAAUAACUUGUAAACAUCAGAGAGAGCCUUAAAGUCAUAAAACUUGGUGAAUCAAGAAUCAAAAAAUGUCAAAUAAAGAUCCAUGCAUAGUCAGUUGCAGUCCUGUUUUGACAGGUAUGUGAGCGAUUUUGCUGAGUUGGGGAAGCAUACAAAAGUAUCUUCACAUACUUCUGAAUCUUUUGGAUUAAUUCAAUGCAAUUGAUAUCAAGGGGAAAAAAGUAAUGAUUAGACACCCAAGACAGCUUAUUGAAGAAGGGAAAUAAUUUUGAAGAAUGAUUAGAUGAAUGGUCAGUUCAACCUUAACGUUCUAUUUACUCUUCUUUACUCUGAAUAUUGUAAGUUUGAAAUUUUUGGGGUUUUGGGGGUUGGGGGGGGGGGGGGGGGAACCACCUUUCUCAGAACUUUGAAUUCUCAGUUGGCCCUUUAUCAUUUGAAGAAGUUGCUCAUUCUUAAAUCAGUAAAGAAAUGAAGCCGUAAUGCCCCUGCACAGUUCAAUACAAAUACCUGUAACAUACAUAUAAAUUGAAAUGAAGCGGUAAUCAUUCAUUGUAAGCUAAGAUUACACCUUCUCUAAGACAUAUUGUGUUGUAUAGCUACUGGUGCUGAUAUCAAUUUCUUAUUGAUAUUUGAAACUAAAAAUGCUUGACAAUUACAAAAGCAAUUUAAGUGAAGGGAAAUGUAGUAGAAACAGUUAUGCUUGUGUGAAGAUAAUUAGGCCAGCUACAUGUUAUCAUGAAAAGGGAAAGCUCGGCCAAACAUUAAAUAGCAGAACCAGAUAAAGUCUGAAGAUUGUUUUACAACAAAUUAUCAAAAUCCACUUUGAUUAUACAUCUUGAAAAUUACUAAACAAGCAAUGGAAAGAACAAACCUGCAGAAUUGAAACUAAUGAAAUAGCAGAUCCAGAAAGGGAUGGAAGGCUUGACAGGUUAGUUCGGAUUAGCAGAAUCUGCUGUAGAAUAGGCUGAAAGCACCUUCAGAACCUACAAAUUAGAAAAAAAAAUGAAUUUGCAUACAGAUCUUCAAGAAGAAUCAAGUUGAGUGAAGCAAAAGACAAUUGCAGCCUAAAUUACUAAAUUAUUUUCUAUGUUCAGGGAGCGAACAAUCCCUUGAAAAGUAUAGGUGCCGGUUGCACAUAUUAAAGAGAACAUUCAAGUGCUUGAACAUGCUAUCUCUGUUGGCUAUAAUUAGUUGAUCUUCAAAAAUUUGAGAGCCAUUGAUGGCUAUUAUUAAGAAAGCAUACAUUGUAGUAAAGUUUUAACCUUACAAAAAGCUAUAAUUAGUUUUAUCUUCAAAAAUUGAGGAGAGACACUAAAGUCAAUUGAAACAAAAGGAUUUCUAAUUCUCGACAAGCAGAAGGUUGAUGAUUAGCCAUCAUCCACCAUGUGAAAAUGCGUCAUAAGACAAAGAAGGAUCUCACUUAAGGAAAGGAACACCAAAAUUAAAUUGAACAAGCAUAAGAACCUGAUCAUCAUAUAUAUUAACUACUGAUUCUGUUCUUAAAGCAUAUCACAUAAAUUUUAACUAUUAUAUUGUUAGGCGCCUGACGUUCCAAAUGUCCAAAUAGUGGAAAAAAUGCGGGAAUACAAGAUUUAUUAUUCAAUUCUUUAUCAGCUAUGUAAUAGUUAUACCCAGAGCUGAUUCGCCUAUAUAAUGGAAUAGAGAAUCAUAGAGGAUAAGCCAAUACCUUAAAAUUCAAUCACCACAAAAAAUUGCACAAGAAACUAAUACCUUAAGGACCACUAUGGGCUAAAAGAUGGCAACAACUAUGGCAGCUUUUUUUCCUUCAUGAUUAGUAAAUGAAUCUAAUAAAAUUCCCCACAAAUUAGAGACCAAAACAAAUUAAACAUUGAAUUUGCUAGAUCCAUAAACCUAAUUACCACUUCCAUGCAUAAUAUAGCAAGGUCAAUGAAAAUAACACCAUUCAAACAAACAAAAAUUUACACUAAAAUUAACUAUCCAAAAUAUCAACAUUUUGAUUUCCACCUAAUGAAAACAACCUCUGAUGAGAUGUUUCUGCACAUGUGAGAAGUGCCAUUUUGUUAACAUAGUUCCUAAAAAUGUGUACACUGUGGUUCCCAACCAAAAAUGCCCACUUACAUUUGACCUAAUGUGACCCAAUGGCAUAAAUAGCAGCCAAAAUUUUACAAAGACAGAUAUGGCAACUCACAAUUAAAUCUUAAAGACAAAUUUAGUACCUCUAUAUUAACAUUUUCCAGGCCAUUGUCAGAUUUUAUAAGGCCGACAGCCAUGAGAAAUAAAAACCCCAAAUGAGAGACUACAUAAGAAAAAGUUUUGCAAAUUCACCAAAUUUCACAUACAAUACAUAAUUAAAGCAUUCUAAAUCUGCAAUCGAGUUUCUUAAUCUGAGAAGUCACCAUGAAAGAAAAGAAAAGCUUGAGUUUAGUCAGAUUUACCGGUCCAAUAUCAUCAAUCCUGAUGAUGGAGUGCUUCAUUAUGCACUUGCAGACAUCAGAGCAGUCAUAACAGAAUGGAAUAGAGUAGCUCGCACAAAGGCCAAUCGGGACUUAUGUACUGCACUUGGAAUUGAGUUUUCUAUUUUCCAGCCAGAUAGUGUUUGCAUAUAAGUGUAUUUCAGGUAAUAUCUUGAUGUAUUGUUGUGGGUAUUCCCUUUGAUGCUGAUCAAUCGAAAGGAAGCUCAUUAGAAAAAGGGGAUAAUAAGUAUAGAUAUGUAUAUGACCUUGUCAGGUGAAUCGUGCACCACUCCCAAAAAAAAAGCGGGAUAAAAACCAUCCCUUGGUUGUAUAUCUCAAUUCCUCAUCUUGUAACCAGGAAAAAUGGAUCUGUAGAAACCAAAAAAGGGUUCCGAAGAAGGAAAAAAAUAUAGUAGUACUAUAUGGAAUUUCUAGGAGAUCACGAGACAGUGGAGGAGAAAGAUAAAAAGAGAAAGUGGAGUUAUACAGUACCCAUACCACAUGGCCAAAUCUAGUUAAUAUUUUCUUUUCUUGACUGCAGGAAACUGAAAAAAAUCGCUUAAGGGAGAAAAUUUUUAGAACAUAACAUGAACUUUAUAAAUACCAGAUCUCUGAGAAACAAAACAACAGACCUGGAAAAGUAAAAAAUCAUGGUCAAGGAUAAAAUUGACUCCAAAAUUCCGACUGCUAUCAGCCAAGAAUCAAAAAAAUAAAAUUCAGAAAAUCAAUCAAAAGUCACCAUAGUCAAGGAAUUCAUAAUAAAUAGGUGAAAUGACAAAAUUAGUUUUGCAGAAUAUUGAGACAUGAACUUGAACUUCUAUGAUUCCUAUAAAGUACAUAUUUUAACUCAACCAAAAGCAAAACUUUUCUUGAUAAAAAAACAGAAUGCUUGGAGAGAGAUUUAUAGUUCUCCACUCCAAGAUUUAGUUCAUAGGUAUAUGAAGACGGCUUGGCAGAGACUGACUUUCAAAAUUUCUUUAAAGGAGGAUCUUCUAAAUAAGACGAGUAGCAUGCAAAUUAACAAACCAGUUUGACAUAAAACUUCUAUGUCUGCAACUUCAAGAGUAGAAAAUAAGAUGAACGCACUUUGAUAGACAACUUUGAUAGUUUGGUCUAUGUAUAUAGUAGCUUCAUUUUUCAUAUAAAUUUCCGUCCAAGUACUUUUAGAAUAAACAAAGCAGCCUCUCUUUAUAAAGCAGCAAAAGUCACAGACCUUUAUUGUAAAUUAUACUUAUUCAUGGCAUUGGUUAUGGACCUUCAAAAGACACCACCAUCUCAACCAAGAAUCCAGAGGUCCAUCAUGCAAAAUGGUUUCAUUUGAAAGCAUUUUCUUGCUAUGUAACCUGAAAUUUGGCAACCAACGGUUCAUAAUCAUAAACUAACCAUAUGGAGAGCCAGUUACUAACUAAAAGAGGGGAUAAUUAAGUUAGAAUAUGGUAAACGUAAUCCAUUCCUCCGACCCCUAGUCUAACAGAUACAGUAGGAAACAAAUGCUAAUAACUGUCAACUAUCACUGCAUGAAAACCAAAUAGUGAUGGGCCAAUACGCCCCUAGCAGAAUAAAAAUCUUAAAAAGUAGGAUUUGAUUAUUAACAAUUAGCUUACUCAACAAAGAAAUAUAGUCCACUUUUCGAUAAUUUCUUAACCAUCUGCAUGAGAAUCUAUAUGUCCAAGAAAUCACAUGUACCACUCUUCUUCUUAAAGACUUACUACACAUUGUAAAUUCUAAAAGUGUACGUUAAAGCAAUCACAACAAAAUUUUAACUACACUAUAAUGUAAACAUGAGUAGUGUUUAGAGCUGAACCUUGAUGUAAAUGGUGAUCAAGUGACCAGGCAACAAAAUUUAACCCAAUUCACAACCUCUCUCCCUUGAUAGGCUCUUCCUCACAAAACCCCCAUUUCACAUUAUAUCAGCUGCUUCGAUAAACAAGUUUUCUGGUACAAUUGCUCACUCAUAUGUUACUUCAUGGCUCUACAAAUAUACAUAGAUGAAAUAGAAAAUAGACCUGUAUACACUAAAAUCUAGGGUUAGGGUUCUGAAGUCAUUUCCUAUGGCAAAUGAUGGAGAAACGUUGCAUUACAGCAAAAGGAAAAGAGAAGGUUGAACCAAAACUCAGAAGCAUACUCAAGAAGAAAAGAAAAAACACCAGAUCUCUGGGUUUACAAAUACUUCCGACUUUUGGUGCUUUUGGAUGGAUUAAGAUGGAGAUUUUACUGCAGCCUUUUUUUUUUUUUUGGCUCAAAGAAGGAGAUGGAAGAAUAGUAUUUCAAACCUCUGGGUUAUUAAUCAAAAGAUUAACAAAUCCUAGCAGGAAAAAUGGCUUUCUUUUUUGAAUCAAGGACAGUGUAAAAAUUUAGGGAAAUAUUGGAGCAUACCGAUCAAGAUGAUUUCUGUGUCUCAUGCGUUUCAUAGCUUCAAAUCCAGACCAAUUCUAAUGACAAGGGAAAAAAAUCAAUUAGAAUCAUAUAACUCAAAAAAGAAAAGAGAAGAAAGGGAAAAAGGGAGGGGAAACGGGAAGGGAAGACAGAGAAGAAGGAAGUACCAAAUAUAAAAAAGAAAAACAAGAAUGGGAAGAAAGGAACAAAGAAAAUAAAAGAAAAAAGGAAGGGGAGAGGAGCUUCGGAGAGGAACGAAGCAGCGGAGAAGAAUGAAGGGAAAGAAGACAAGAAGCCCUAGGACAAACUCUUGGUCAAACUUGCCACCAAUCUCCUCUUGCCACGUCAUCAGGAAGCCAAUCCCCUUAUGACACAUGGGCGGAUGACCAAAUCUGACGUGGCUAGAGGUCCUUCACGCUUAUACUAUAGGCUAAAUAUAUUAUAUAUAUGUAUAGGAUAAAAUAAAAAAUAAAAAUAAAACAGCUAAACUACUUAUCUUACAACAAUUACCUUACGUGUUCGGAAAGGGGAGCAAGAGUAUGAGUUGGGGACAGUACACCAAGGGUAGCAGAGACUGGAGAGAAUAAGGAGGAAGUAAUGACCAGUGGUUGUAGAGAAAGGGGAAAAUUACCAGCCAGAAGCGUGAGAAAAGAGAGACCUCCUAGUGGAAUUAGCUAAGGGAGUUGUUCAGUGAGGUGGCAGGGGAGACUAACUUGUAAUUAAAUUGUUAUACUGACUUGAUCCAUUGUGGCCCACACAUUGAGCAGGUGUACAUGUACGUGUUGGAACUUGAACAUGUACUUUAUAACUAAAACAUUAGAAAUAAAUAUUGUGCAUACCUUGUGAGAUUGCUACCUCUGUGCUUGAGAAUGGAAUAUUUCAUGAUUAUUAUCAGGCCUAUUCAAUAAUAAAUGAACUAAAUUGGUCAUCAAUCAGAUCAUAGGCAUCAAGUUUGUACAAUUAGAAAGAUUAACAAGAGGAGGCAAGAAGAGGGACAUAAAGAGGACUCCUAAAAUAGCUUAUGGUCAGCAAGGGAACAAGAAUCAGACAUUAAAGGGUAGAACAGAAAGAUCAAAGAAGAUACUAAUAAAUAGUUCAUGAAACAAAAAGAAAAAUCUAUUCUCUAAUGGAGAAUGAGUAGAAUCCAUGUUCUAUGUUCUUGGAUGAUUAUAUCUGUUAUUUAGUUAAUGAUGUAACAAGUUCUUUUACCUGUUAAAGUAAGUUGAGUGAAAACCUUCAUGCUAAGUUGAGACUUAAACUUCUAAGUAGCAGUGUAAAUUAUUAAUCAAAACAUUGCUGGAGCUUUAGCUUCACAUGAGUAUCACAACAUAAAAUGGGGCCACAGUAGUUCACAGUUUUUUUGAGUCACUACGUGACAUCGUAUAUAAGUUCAACACAUUACAAGUUUUACUGGUCUUUCCAAGGUAUUUGACGAAAAUCAUAAAUAUUCUAAAUAUUAGGCCAAGCCUUUGAAAGUCCCUAAUAAACAGAUAUGUUUUACACUUUCUUGAAGGAUAAGUGGAAGGCAAAUAACAAGUGACAUGAUGAAAGAAGGUACCAAAAAAUCCUGCAUAAACAGACCUUUUUGACUUUUGGAAAGCUUAGAGUUCAACAAGUAUCUAAGUUUACAAUUUAUCCCACAAGUGAACAUGAAAUAAGGAAUAAGCAUUUUAACAGAAACUCCAAAAGGGAACAUGAUAAGUGAGUAGCUGUAUAUAUGGUUGCUGAAUGUUUGAAAGCAUGAAGUAUCACAUAUCAAUAUAAGGGUGCCUAUGCUUCUCAAAUAUUCUAAAGUUAAUAAACUUGUGCAUGUCAAUUCAUUAAGUUAUACAAACAUCAAGGGGAAAGCAUAAUCAAGAAAAAAAAUGAGAAAAUUGAUUCUAAGUACAAAACUUGUAAGUUUAAUAGAUUAACAAGGUACAGUACAAGAACUAUGUGGGAAAUAGUAUAGGAUGACUGAAAAACAAGAGUAAGAUGAAUGUCAUACAAUAUAACAGAAUAUGAUUUCUAUAAUUAAAGUGUUCCAAAAUCACUCAGAUUUUCAAGUUGCUAUGUGAAUAAUUAUAGAAAAUGAGCCUAAUUGGAGAACAUUUAAUUUUGUGAUAAACCCAAUUACCUUUGUUCUAACGUUGUCUGCCUUUUAACCACUCUGUACAUGAAAUGACGUUUCUGACAUUAUCAGCAGCCUGAAUCCAAUCUACUGUAACCUGGUUCCUUUCUAAUUCUACUUUUAUCCAUCAACUCCCUGACCUUAUUUGCAUCAUCCCAUCUCUCUACAUCAACAAACAUGUUAUACAGCAAAACAUAUGGGCCGGAGUCCUCUGGAUCUAGCCUCAACAAAGCUUCAGCUGCUACUUGUGCUAUCUCCACAUUGUUGUGCACCUUACAGGCAUUUAGUAAUGCACCCCAGACAGAUUUAUCAGGUUCAAGUGACAUUGCGUAAAUUAUGUUCAAGGCUUCCUCAACAUUUCCAAAACGACCCAUCAUGUCCACAAUGGAGGCAAAGUGUUCAACCCUUGGUUCAAUACCAAAUUCAUUAAUCAUGGCCUCAAAAUGCAACCAGCCUUGAUCAACAAGACCAGCAUGAGUACAUGCAUUCAGAACUGCAAUGAAUGUAAUGUAAGUAGGUCUCACUCUUUGUUGCUUCAUCAAGUCAAAUAGUUCAAGAGCUUCCAGUGCAUAACCAUGAGAUGCAUAUCCCCCAAUCAUAGCAUUCCAAGAGAUUACAUCUUUCUCAAAUUGCAUCUCAUCAAAAAUAGUUCUUGCUUCAAAUAUUGCCCCGCAUCUAGCAUACAUUGUAAUAAGCGAGUUAUUUAACGGAAUAUCAGGCACAACAAUCUUUGUUACUAACUGAUGAAUUUGCAUUCCCAGAUCCACUGCCACAGACUCGGCACAAAUGCUAAGAAGUGAAGAUAAUGUGUGUCGAUCAGGUUUUUCUUCUGUUCCUUGCAUCUCAAUAAAAAGCUUGAUGGCUCCAUCAUAAUCUGCAUUUUUCUCACUUCCUGCAAUAAUUGCAUUCCAAGAUAUCCUGUUUUUCUCUGGCAUCCUUUCAAAAAAAUUACGAGCAAGUUCCAAGCUUCCUGACUCGGAGAACCCUGAGAUCAUUGAAUUCCAUGAUAAUGCAUCUGGGCUUGGCAUUUCAGAGAAAAGCCUUGAAGCUUCUUCCAUAUUUCGUACCUGAACAUAGCCACUAAUCAUGGUAUUCCACGAAACAGAAUCACGCUCAAUCAUCUUAUCAAAUAACUCCCUGGCAGAAAUGAUAUCUCCAGUUUUCACAUAGCACAUGAUCAUAGAAUUCCAUGACACCAAAUUUUUCUCAAACCUUCUAACUCCAUUCCUAUUAUCAUCAGCAGCAUAAAUUGGGAUUUGAUCAAAAAGUUUCCGGGCAUCGUUCACCCUUCCCUUUUGGCCGUACCCGGCAAUCAAAACGUUAUAAGCUUGAAGAUAAUCUUCACUCCCGCUAUCCCUCGUCCCAUACUUGAACAGAACAUGUGCAGCAGCAUCCAACUCUUCAUUCUGUAUUAAACCAGACACAAGAACACUUAAAGAAGCGGCGUCCCUGUCAGGCAUUCUCUCAAAGAACUCAACCGCCCUUUUCAUAUCACCAUUUUGCAGCAACCCAGAAACGAUCGCAUUCCAAGAAACAACAUUCCUCUUAGGCAUACACAUAAAAAGCCUCAUUGCUUCAUCUAUUCUACCAUUUUUCGCGUACCCACUAAUCAUCGUGUUCCACGAAACAACAUCCCUCUCCGGCAUUUGAUCAAACAGGUAUUUUGCUUCUUGCAUAUAUCUACUUCCCCGACACCCCAUAUAACCCGAAAUAAUCAAAUUCCACGAGACAACAUCCCUUUCAGGCAUUUCAUCAAACAGUUUUCGAGCUUGUGCAAUUUCUCGCCUAUGGACGUAUCCACUCAUCAUUGAAUUCCAUGUGAUUGUAUUUCUAAGUCUUAAUCCAUCAAACAAAACUCUUGCUUCUUGAAUCCGGCCACUUCGUAUUAAACGUGUGAUAUUCUUGUUCAUUAUCUGGAGGUCUCGGGGAAUCUGAGAAGCAGAAUUGGAGACUAAACUGCAAAGACAAUGAGCUACAACAGGGUCGUGAUUAACAAUUUGAUAUUCACAGUUUGUCGUCCUAAAAUUUAAUAAAAUAUUGUUUAAGGUAAUCAAAUUGCUCCGCCAUCGGGCGAACAUUUUGUUUUUAAGGAUCUUUAGAAUGAGAGACUAAUCUGAACUUAACUGCAAAAAAUUUCACUUAUUAAUCUGAACUUGACUAAUUCGAAACUUACACAUGUAAGGCCUCAUCUUGGCCCAUUUUUUCAAAAUAAGUUUCGGACCGAGAUUGUAUAAGCUAUUAGCUUGAAUUUUGUCGAAAAAUUAUGCAUAUGAUCGGAUUUUUAAAAUGUUUCAUAUAAUAUGUAGAUAAGAAUACUCAAUUUAUACAUUUACCAUAGAUAUUUAUUAAUUGUAAAUUAUUUAAUUAAAAGAAUAAUGCUUUAAGAUAAAUAUAUUAUUAAAAUAAUUAUUUUAUAUGAUUUUGUUUAUCUUCAACAUGUAUAAGUAUUAAGUAUUUGAUCUGAUAUUAUUAUUUUGAUCGAGCAUAGAUGAGGUUGAGUUUAACUUCACCUAAGCCCAACCUAUAGACAACAAACAUGCUUUUCUUUUAAUUAUGUUUAAUCUCAUAUUGAUCAGCUUACUCCAUAGAAAGCAAAGAGAAAAAUGAAUAAAGCUUGGAAAAAGAUACUCUCUAGGCUCUAAAGCACACCUCUAAGUAAAAACAUUUUCAAGGACAGAAUACAUGCGAACAUUACAUUUGCAAAAUUUGGAAUUAAUGAUUCACUCUAGGGCUGCAAACGAAUCGAAUCGCUCGCGAGUGGCUCGAAUCAAACUAGACUCGAGCUCGAGUCGAGUUCAAACUGGCUCGAGUCGAAAUCGAGUUCAAAAUAUUAAACUCGUUAACUCGUGAGUCGGCUCGCGAACUCGAGUAUAUAUAUAUAUAUUUUUUAUUUUAAGUAUAUAUAUUUUUUUUAUUUUUUUAUUUUAAGUAUAUAUAUAUUUUAUAUUUUUUUAAUUUUAAUAGUAAAAUUAUAUAUACAUCCUUAAUAUUUUAUUAUUUAUUAAAAAAAUAUUAUUUUAUUUAUUUUUAAGAAAAUAAAAUAUUUAUUUUUUAUUUUUUUUGAGCUCGAGUUUGAAAUUGUCAGCUCGUCAAGCUCGAACUCGAGCUCGAGUUCGAGUUCAAUGAAAUUAUGUUGAGGCUCGGCUCGAUUAGGUCAAAACUCGACUCGACUCGACUCGUCUGCAGCCCUAAUUCACUCAUUCAUGCCUACAGAUGACUUUUUUUUCAGUCAGGCUAUUUACUCCAUUUGUGCAUUUCAUUUGCUCUUCAAAGUUACUAAAGCUGUUAAUCAACCAAAGUAAAAAGUGCUUAGCAUAUUUUAGUCUCUAGGCAUAAAUUUAUUUUUUCCUAUCCUGAGAAGCUUCAAAAAAUAGAGUUCAAAUAAUUUGUAGUAUAGUUUAAAAUUGAGUUGUUCAGUUUUCGCUGCGCAAAAAAGAGGAAGAUAAGUAACUCAACCCACUUGACCAGAUACAUAAUAGUUCUACAACCAAAAUCAGUGCAUAAGCUUAAAGGUUUUAUCUAUCAGUCAUUUACAUUUAUUUGUCAUAGGCUGCUUUUACCAUCUCCUUUCUAACCUCAAUUAUGUCAUUGUUCUUCUUCUGAAUAACAAAACCAAGAAAGACUAAUUCUUGCCAUGUACAAAUAUGCAGAUAGAAUCAUAUCAUUACCACAUGUUGGAAUAAUCAAUCUUCCCAAGGAGCCUAUACAUCAAACAAACCAGGUAAUAACAACAAAAAUUUAAGCUUAGGCACACACAGAUUGAUCCCACAAUAGAUCUGCUCAGGCACUCAUAGAUUUAGUCAAGGUGCCCAUAACCAAUUUCCAAGUUAUAUGUAUCUGUAAGGGUUACUAAAUGUUAAUAAUGCAGGGGAAAUUCAUGUAAGUAACAAUAAAGAGAAGGAAAUCAACUUUCUUACUUCACAAGAAAAACCAUUGAACCAAUGAAAUUCAACCACCGAACCAUUGAACUCUUCUAGCAUAUGAACAUCACAAGGAUUUGGUUUUCUAAGGCCAUUAACAUUAUGAGUGGGAAAUGUAUUGGAAGAUUCCCAACAAAAAUAAACAAACUUUUCUUUCAUAAUCAUGGAGAAGAAAUCCAAAAUCCAAAAAUAUAGCAAAGUAUGAGGGGAAAAUGGUCACUGAAAAAGAAACUCCCACAUUGAUAACUUUAUUUUAAUUUAGUCUGUCUACCUCAUAUUACAUCAAUAUAGGCCACGGUACAAUUCAAAUUCACAUCAUUAAACAUAGUUUUUGGGUCAAAAUUCAACAUCCAACGCAAUGUCGCAAUAUUUCCACUUAGUCAACAUUAGCAGAGUAUCAAGCACCAAUGGACGGCAACUCUAGUAUCUGAACUUACUACUACUUAGAGACUAUAAUACCAAUGAAGGAGCCGUAAGGAGAUUUUAAGCAUAAAUUACAUUAUAACUAGAAAAUGCGAUUACCGAGGUGAUGUACAUGUAGCAGCUUGAGAAAAAAGACAAACACCUGGAAGGCAAAAUGGGAAAAUUUGUAAGAAUAUAUUAUUAUGUAAUGGUACGGAACCAGAGUAUAGCAAUGGUGAUAGAUUUUGCAGCAGCAAUUAACUUAAUCUUAACAAAAUGAAUGGAACAGGAGACUGUAAAGGAAAAUUAUGAACUCAGCUUCUCAUUAAUGACUUGAUAACAAAUUACAGAAACAGAAACAAUGGAUUCAGAGAGGGGAGGAAAGAAUGAAGGAAAAACAUGAGAGGGGAGGAGAGGGAAUUUGGUAGAGCCAAAUCUCUCUUUACAACUAAUUGGCAAUAUGACAAAAACUUAACUAUCACAAAGAUCCUCUGAGCUUUUAUUGUUUUCAGAACUAACUCCUAAUCUGUCCAAUAAACUAAUGACACGUGUAAUUCUAGAAUCAUCAGCUGCAGUGGUUCAUAACCGAAGCAUAAUUCUGUUAUUCCUAGUGAAGGCGUGUCUUUUGAAGUCACGCCUUCUUCUUUCUUCAAGCUGAUCAACCGCGCCUUCUUCGAACUCUGGAUCACGCCUUCUUCUUCCUUUAAGUUGAACUGGGGGAAACUUUCUGCAAUCUCUCUGCACUCCAUGACAGAGUCUCCCCCUUCAAGAAAUCUUGCCCUCAAGAUUGUCACUGUGGAAACUGCUUCUCAAUUUCUUCUGCAAACUCCUAUGUUGCCUCUGCUGGAUCUGUUCCCCACCAAUGAAUCAGCCAUUGCACUGCAGUAGCAUUCCUUUUCUUGACUAUUCUCCUAGCUAAUACUGCAACUGGCUCGACCCUUAAGUGUCCCUUUCCAUCAACCUCUGGUAGUUGCAGGAUAGGUGUGAUCUGAUCUCCAGUCUUCUUCUUCAGUAGAGAGACAUGGAAAACAGGAUGUAUUUUGGAACUUGUUGGCAACUUCAACCUGUAUGCCACCUCCCCAAUCUUUUCUAUCACUUCAUAGGGUCCAUAGUAUCUUGCUGACAGCUUGGUGUUGCCUCUUAUAGCCACUGAAUGUUGCCUGUAAGGAUGUAGCCUCAAGUACACCUAAUCCCCUACUUCAAACUUUCAUUCACUCCUUUUUUCAUCAGCAUACCUUUUCAUUCUCUUUUGAGCCUGCUUCAAAUUCUGCUUCAGUGUAAUGUCAAUUUUAUGCCUUUCCUUCAAAUAGUCCCCAACUACAGCCAUCUUAGUCUGGGAGUAGGGUCCCAGUGCCAGUUUGUGGUGGUGCCUGAACGUAUAAUGCUUCAAAGGGAGUCAUCUGAAUAGCUGUGUGGUAACUGGUGUUAUACAACCAUUCUACCAUAGACAGCCAAUGAUUCCACUUCUUUAGUUCCAAAUGUGAGAAACAUCUGAGAUACAUUUCUAGUACCUGAUUUACUCUCUCAGUUUGGCCAUCAGAUUGUGGGUGGUAAGUUGUGCUGAGGUCCAACUUAGCUCCCAGCAGGGUAAACAUCUUACCCCAAAAUUGACUGGUGAAAAUCCUAUCCCUGUCUGAUAGCAUACUUUGGGGUACUCCAUGCAGCUUGACUACCCCAUCCAUGAAUAUUCUGGCAAUUUUAGGGGCAUCAAAAGGGUGUGAAAUGCUCAGAAAAUGAGCAUACUUGGUACACCUGUCUACCGAUACCAUAAUGGUAUCCCUUCCUUCAGAGAUAGGCAAUCCUUCAAUGAAGUCCAUAGUGACAUGGCUCCAAGGGUACUGCGGGUUGGGAAGAGGUUGCAGUAACCCUGGAUAGGAUACAUGCUCAUCCUUGCAUUUCCUACAUAUAUCACACUCCAGUAUUGCUGGUUUAUUGUCUUUAUACAUGCCUGGCCAGUAGAAUAGUUGCUUGGCCCUCAUGAAUCUUGCUUGUAUGCCAGAAUGUCCUCCCAAUUGUGAGUCAUAUAGGGUGGUGAUCAGUAUUUUCCUUAUGUCCCCUCCAGAUCCCACAACCAUUCUUCCUUUGAACUUCAGUAUACCAUUUUGGUAACUGAGGUUGGGGGUUUGGUCAUGGUUCAAUAAUACCUCUUUAAUGCUAUUCUGUGCCCAAUCAUCCCCUUGGUAGCUGCUAAUUACUUCCUUGAUCCAUUCUGGAACUAUGAUAGUUGUUGCAGUGCACUCCAAGCCUUGAUCACUUCUUCUGGAUAAGGCAUUUGCUACCACAUUCUCCUUUCCCUUUCUAUAAUGGAUCUCAUAACUCAGUCCAAUGAGUUUAGUUAGCCAUUUCUGCUAUAGGAGGUGGUGAUCCUUUGCUCCAGUAGGUACUUCAAGCUCUGGUGAUCAGUAUUAAUGAUGAAGUGCUAACCCUCUAGGUAGUGCCUCCAUUUGGUGACUGCUGUCACUAGAGCCAACAACUCCUUCUCAUAGACGGAUAAUCCUACAUCCUUUGGCCCUAAACCCUGACUAAUGUAAGCUAAUGGUCUCUUGUUCUACAUUAGAACUGCCCCUAUCCCUUUGUAGCAAGCAUCAGUCUCUAUCACAGAGGGUUGGCUGAAAUCAGGCAAGGCCAGUACAGGAGUAUCACACAUGGCCCUUUUGAGUUUUUGAAAUGCUUCCUCAGCUUCUGCCCCCAUUGGAAGUUGUCCUUCUUUAACAGUGUAGUCAAUGGCCUAGCUAUGCUUCCAUACCUUUUAACAAACCUCUUGUAGUACCCAGUCAAGCCUAGGAAUCCCCUCAGCUGUUUUACAUUCUCUGGUCUAGCCCACUUCAUCAUAACUUCAACCUUCCUAGGAUCAGCUUUUACCCCCUUAGCUGAGAUGAUGUGCCCAGGUAUUCCACCUGUGUCUGAGCAAAGGCACAUUUGCUCCUCUUGGCAUACAGCUGUUGCUCCUUGAGGAUGUUCAGAACCUCUGUAACAUGCUUCAAAUGCUCUUGUAAACUUGAGCUGUAUACUAGCAUGUCAUCAAAGAAUACCAGUACAAACUUCCUCAGUUGUUUUUAAAACACAUGGUUCAUUAAGCCCUGGAAGGUAGCAGGGGCAUUGGUCAGCCCAAAUGGCAUCAGCUUGAACUCAUAGAGCCCCUGAUGAGUUCUGAAUGCAGUCUUGGGAAUGUCCUCAGUCUUGACCCUGAUUUGGAAGUACCCUACCCUCAAGUCUAUCUUGGUGAAGUAUUUGGAUCCAUUCAACUCAUCCAAAAGCUUAUCAAUAAGGGGUAUUGGCUAUUUGCUUUUAACUAUUAGCUCAUUCAACUGCCUAUAGUCCACACAGAAUCUCCAAGUGCCAUUCUUUUUUUUCACAAGCAGUAUAGGAGAUGCAAAAGGGCUGUUGCUGAGCUGAAUGAUACCAUUUCCUAGCAUUUCCUGCACCAGUUUCUCAAUUUCAGUCUUCUAUACAUAUGGACAUCUAUAUGGCCUGAUCUGGAAAGGCUUGGACCCCUCUUUAAGUGUUAUGGAAUGGUCAUGACUCCUUUCAGGGGGCAACCCUCGGGGUUCCCUGAACACAUCCUUAAACUCCUAUAGUACCCCCUCAAUUUCUGGGGUAUGGACUCAGGAUCCUGCACUUCUUCAUUCACUGCACUCAGUUGUGCUAAGAUCCCAUAAGCCUGUUUCCUAGCCCACUUGUGCAGCCUACUUCCCUUUAUCAGCCUUAGCUGCACUGAGUUAUUCUCUCCUUUAAUUCCACCUGUUGUUUUCCCUUCUUGAACUUCACACUCAGCCCCUUAAAGUCAAACUCCAUGGGGCUGAACCUGGCAAGCCAGUCUACUUCUAACACCAUAUCAUAUCCCCCCAACUUCAAUGUGUUGAACUGGUGCUGAAACUCAUAGCCUUGCAUCUUCCAUACCACAGGCUUAGCUAGACUUCUGGACUGUACCCUCUACCCAUUAGCCACCUUAACUACUAGGGAAGGUCCCCUAAUGUCCAGUCCUAGGUUUCUAGCCAAUUGCUCAUCUAGAAAGCAGUGAGUACUACCACUGUCAAUCAGUGCAGUGACAGUCCUACCCCUUAUUAUCCUCUUCAAUCUAAUAGUUUUAUGCUCACUCCCCCCUGCCAGAGCAUGGACAGAAACUUCUAUUUGUUCAUCCUCUAGUUUGCCCUCAAUACAGUCACAGAAAAUAUCAGAUUCAGCCUCCUUCUCACUUUCAUUAGUUGUAGGGUCCUCAUUUACAUCAUUUACCAGCAAAAGAUGAAUGUGAGAUUGCUUACAUACAUGGCCAAGAGUAUAGGGUUCAGCACAUUUAUAACACAGUCCUUUCUCUCUUUUGAUGUUGAACUCACUAGGAGUGAUCCUUUUGAACAGGUUCUGGUUGCUGUUUGGAUUUUUGUAACUUUUAGUGGGAGGUUUAUCUGAGGUUCUGGGGGUGAAGGGGCUCCAUUGGGUAUAGCCCUGAGGGUGGAAUGGGGCUUUUUGUGGCUGGGAGGUAUUAGGUAGGGUCUCGUGAAUUUUUUGCAUGGCUUUUAAGUUUUUCUCCUGCAACUUGGCUACUUCUAUUGUAUCAGCCAGGGUUAGGGGUUUUGCCAUUUUGACCAUAUUAACUAUUUCUUCCUUUAAGCCACUUAUAAAACAUGCCUUGUAAUAAGAAUCAGUCAAAUGAGGAAGGGAAGGCAUUACCAGUGCUUUGAGCAACUCAAACUUCUCCAAGUAGUCUGCUACAGAGCCUACCUAUCUUUCUCUUGUUGAAUUCCUCAAUGGCUUCCUCUGGAGUGCCUUCACCAAAUCUUUCACACAGUGCAGUGGCAAGUUCAGUCCAUGGAAUGGCUUCUCUACCACUAAACACCCCAUGGAACUAGGUGUCGGCUCUGUCUCUCAGGUACAGUUCUGCAAUCUCAGACUUCAUGUUUUCCUCCACUUCGUUGAUCUUGAAGAACUUGUUAUCCUUUCUGAUCCAUUCCCUUGGAUUAUCUCCUGUGAAAUUAGGCAGCUCCAUCUUAGGUACCCUAGCAAAGGACCUGCUCUUCUUCCAAUCUGAUCUACCCUGGCCUUCAUUUUGUGUUUCUCCCUUCCUGCCUCCUUUCUUAGGACUUGCUAUACAGCUGCUACUUUCCACAUCUUUGUCCUUGUCAUUCAACUUUGCCAUCAUCUGUGCCAUCAUAGACGUCAUACUUUCAUACUUCUGAUCUAGACUCUUAAGGGUUCUCUCAGUACCUUCCUGCCUGUGUUCCAGAACCUUGACCACACUACCUAGCUCAGUUAGAUCCUUCUUUAGCAUUUCAUCUUGUGAUUUUGUCAUCCCAAUGGUCAUAGCUGAGCUCUGAUACCACUGUAAUAGUACAGAACCAGAGUAUAGCAAUGGUGAUAGAUUUUGCAGCAGCAAUGAACUUCAUCUUAACAAAAUGAAUGGAACAGGAGACUGUAAAGGAAAAUUAUGAACUCAGCUUCUCAUUAAUAACUUGAUAACAAAUUACAGAAAUAGAAACAAUGGAUUCAGAGAGGGGAGGAAAAAAUGAAGGAAAAAUGUGAGAGGGAAGUAGAGGGAAUUUGGCAGAGCCAAAUCUCUCUUUACAACCAAUUGGCAAUAUGACAAAAACUUAACUAUCACAAAGAUCCUCUGAGCUUUUAUUGUUUUCAGGACUAACUAACUCCUAAUCUGUCCAAUAAACUAAUGACACGUGUAAUUCUAGAAUCAUCAGCUGCAGUGGUCCAUAAUCGAAGCAUAAUUCUGUUAUUCCUAGUGAAGGCGUGUUUUUUGAAGUCACGUCUUCAUCUUUCUUCAAGCUGAUCAACCGCGCCUUCUUCGAACUCUGGAUCACACCUUCUUCUUCCUUUAAGCUGAACUUGGGAAAACUUUCUGCAAUCUCUCUACACUUCAUGACAUAUUAAACUAAAGCAAUCACAAGAAAACAAACCAUCAGCGAUUGAAAUUUAUAAGUUUUCAGAAAAGGAAAUGAAAUGCAUUCAAUUAUAUGACCCAAAUUUCAAUACUUCAACAAACUGAUGAGCCCAAUUUAGCACAUAUUACUCCCAGGAGUCAUGGAUGAUCACGUCCAACUUAAUUAGGAAGGAACAAAAAAAAACUGAUUACCACGUAUAAUUAACAAUGAUUCCUGCUCUAGCCAAGCUGGAGGAGAGCGAUCGAGGAGUAAGGUCAAGCUAACGGCAAUAACAAAACCAAAAUCUUGUGAGGCAGAGAGAAGGGGAGGAGAAGACAGAAACGAAGGGGGCCGAAAUAACCUGGAGGAGAAAGGCGUGAACAAAUGACUCUCACGUGCUGGGGACACUAAUACAUUGCUAACUAAAAUUGCUGACCAACGAAAUGGCCACCAGAGUUGAGUAAAAUUACAGUAUAACCAGUCCAUGGUUACUGUUCAUAAGCUAAAUGGCUCUUUUAACAUCGCCAUGUAUGUCAUCACCUUUCACUUUUUAUAAGGGUCCGUUUGGUUCAUGGAAUGACACAGGAUUGGGUUAAUCAUCCUGUGUCAUCCCAGGUUCGAUUGCAUUUUAUAUAUAGGAUGACACAUCCUAUUUAACCGAAUUAAUCCUUUAUUCAUGGGAUAAAAUAAUCCCAUGAAGGAGAUGUGAUUAGUCAUCCCGGGAUGACUAACAGACAGAAUGAUAAAAUUUUAAACUAAUUUAUCCUUACAAAAAAUACAAAUUUAUACUCUUAUAAUUAUAUAAUCCUACUUUCACAUGAUAAUAUAAUAGGAAUGGAAUAAUUUGCCCCUACUAUUUAAUUUUAAAUUUUUUGACUAAUUUGCCCCUACUACCAAUAUAACAAUAUUUAGACUAAUUUAUCCUUAUGAAUGAUUCAAAUUUAAAUUAGCUAUUAUAUAACCAUACUCUCACAUAAUAAUAUCAUAAUAAACAGAGAAUUAGCCCCUACUAAUUCUAUUAAAGUUUUUGACUAAUUUGCCCCUAUUCAUUAUUUUAAAAAUUUUGACUUACCCCUAUUCAUUGAUUUAAAUUUUUUGACUAAUUUGCCAUACUAACAUCAUAAUAGAAGGACUAUAUUACCCUUGGACUAAAUUACCCUUACUAACCUUAUUUUCUAAAUGAAAUUUAUAUAAAUAUAUAAUCUUAUUAAUUGGACUUUGUGAAUGAGGACUUCAAUAAGUUCAAACUCGAUCCAAAGAAGAAUCUUCGAUAUUAGCCUGAGUUCGGCUCAUUGAAAACUCUUAAAUGAGUUAGAUUUUAAUUGAUUUAACCUUAAUUUAGCCAAAACUUGGCCCAUUAUUUAAUUGAAUUUAAAAUUUAGGUUCAAAAGUUUAGUCAAAAUCUGUUUUAAGGACCCAAAUGGGCUAAGUUUGAAUGAAUGCAAAUUUUUAUCUAUCAAAACCCUUGAUUUACUUUAUAAUUAUAAAGUUUUAAACUACUUUAUUUUAAUAAAAUUUAUAAAUAUUAAAUUAUUUAUUAGAUUAUUUAAUUAAAUAAUAUUAAAUUAUUUUAUUAAUAUUUAUAAAAUAUUAGAUUAUUUUAUUAAAAAGAAUCUACAAAUUAAGGGAUGCUUUGGUCAUUAAAAUAGGAAUCCUUCCCCAUCCAAUCUCCAACCAAACACGGGAUAGGAUUAUUUUCUAACAUAUCUUAUCCAACUGAGAACCAACCAUACAUUAGAUAAUUUGGAUUAUUUAUCCGGAGAUGACUCAACCUAGGAUUAAUAAUCCGAGGAUGAGUCAUCCCAUCUCAUCCAGUCCGUGAACCAAACGGACCCUAAAGGAUAAUUUCAAAAAUCUCUCUAAAGGUUUCAUGAAAUAUCACUUAACUCUCUUGAGAUUUUUAGAAUCCCACUUAGCACCUCUCAAAGUGACAUUUUGGUAACAUUGUAAGACCUUCUAACCAAAAGUAAUAUUAGAAAAUUCAUAUUUGAGGAGAAAGACCAUUUUAGUGCCCUUAAUACCCUUAGGCUAUUAAAAAUAUGAAUAUUUUAUAAAUCAAGAUAAAUUGGUACCAUUUUAAAAGUGAGGGGAUGAAAGUUGAUAAGUAUUUAUGUUAUAGCCAAUAUUCACUUCUAUAGCAGAGAGAGAUAGUAAUAGCAAAUACUAUUCUUUAAACCAUUUCUACAAAUAAAACCCUUCAUAGCAUUGAAGGCAAUUAGCAUGUAAAACUCAUACAUUUGAGUAAUAAAUAAAAUUUAACUUCAAUAUCAUACAGAGAAUUUACGUAAAAUAGACUGACUUUUUUAUGGAUGUGAAAGAUGUCAAUUUUUUUUUAUAAAAAGAAAAAGUUAGAAUUGGAAAAACCACAAAGUCUGGAGAUUCAAUUACUUCAUUUCUCUCGCACUCUACAUGAAUAGGAACAAACAAAUAAAUAAAUAGAUAAAUAUAGUUGUGAAACACAAAAAAGGAAAAAAAGAACUUGUAGCUAUUCUUCUCCAAAUGUGUUGAAUAUUUCAUUGACAUUUGCAAUUCAUAUAUAUAUAUAUAUAUAUAUAUAUAUAUAUAUUCUAUAAAACAUAGGAAUAUAUGUAUGUAUAGAAAUUGUUAAAGAAAUUUAAAUAUAAGGGUAUUAUUGACAAUUCAUUACCUUUGAUGUUGGUAUAUGGUCCCACUAUUACUUCAAGAGUGCUAAGCAAGAUAUUGAAAAUUUCAAGGGAGUUAGGUGAUAUUUCUUGAAACCUCCGGGUAGAUUUCUGAAAUUAUCCCUUCUAUAAAUCCCAAAGAAUGUUUGGAAAGUUAUUUUGCACAAUUCUAUGUUAAAAUCUCCAACUGAUACCUUAACAACACCCUAGUGGAAACAAUCGCUAACUUCAAUGAGUAGUUGCAAAGGACGUCGAAUUUUGUUUUAGCUUUAAUGACCAGCCCAACAUGCAGGUGUGAAUUUCCCUAUUAUUGUAGAGAAACCAUUUAUAGUAGUGCAAAAACAUGAGCAAGAGAAAGUGCGAGCAUUUUGAGAAAUUGCCUUUCAAAACAAUCACUAAGAAAUCUAAUCUCUUUGAAAGGCAUCAAAGUCUAACUAAUGCAGUUCUUUGAAGCCUCACUAGAACGUCUAUCGGGUCUAAGCACAUUAACCUAAAUACAACUAAAGUGCCCAUUGAAGAUAGCCACGGACAAGUUCUCUACCUGCCAAGAGACGCCAAGUUUUGACUCCCAACAGCAAGCUAAAUUUUGGAUUCCAAGGAGAUGCAUACCUCAUCUUCAAUAUUAAUUAGAUGUACACCUUGUAGGGCAAUUAUUACAAUGAUAAUAAUAUUUUGGUGACAAAACUAUUUCUUCUAACUAUCUCUUCCUACAUCUUUUUAACUUGCAUAUUAACUUCAUUAAACUAGCGUUUGCAUCCCCAACAUCUGGCUAUUUCUUACUCGCCUGACGAAUUUUCAAACAAGUUCAUCAACGUAUCAACAGCUCUUAUGUAGCAUCAGCAUCACCCAAUCCACCAACAAUACAAUCGUUCAAGAGGACACUAAAAAAAAAACUGUAAAACUUGGUAAAAGGAUUAAAAAAAAAAAAAAGAAGCUCUGACGCACUAAUAUGAAAAUAAAAUCUAGCAAAUAAAAAACCAAUCAAAAGCUCCCCUUGAAUUGCAAUGCCAGUGCAAGAAAAAAUGUAGUAAGAUUUCUCCAUGUAGCAAUGUUCAAUAUUAUUUGUAUGGUAAACAUAAUAAAGUGGGAUAUAAUUUUUUUUUGGACAAGUGGAAUAUAAUGUUAGCAUGACUAAUGAAGGAAAAAGAGGACAUAUCAAGAUAAAGUCCAGUUACCAAUAACAGAUCCGAGCAUAGAAAAUGAAAGACGUAUUGUAUCACUAUUAGUUCAGUAAUAACCACAAGCAAAAUACAAUUAGGCAUUCGAUUGGGGGGAGAGAGAGAAGGAAAAUCAUGCUCAUGCAUCUUCCUUCACUUUAACUUUUAACUCGUACAUAUUAUCUUGAAACCCAUCAAAAAAAGCAUCAAUCUUAUCGAAGUUUUUGCAAUACCCACAAAACAAAAAUCAAGCUUCUUUGAAUGUGCAACAAUAGCAAAACGCUUAAUAAAUCAGGCAAACUAGUUAAAGAAAUCGCAAGAAAUGGCCGUAGAAUUCCUUAAUUAAUUUUUUCAAUUAUUACCAAUCACGUUAUCAAUUAGGUAAAAAAAAUGUAUCAGUUAAAAAUUGUCGCGCCCCAUUUUUCGCGAUGGAAAAUAAAAAGGGUUUAUAAAAGAUUUGAUUCUAUAAAUGAAAAAUGAAAAAAAGACCUAAAAUGGGACUUUAAAAAAUGCGACAAUUUGGGUCCAAAAAUAUAGUCUAAAAAGAGUUUUUUAAGAAAAAAAUAGAAAUCGCCACUUGGUAUCAAGUUUGGGUGUACCAAGUCACCCAAAAAGUGUUUUUAAAUAAAAUAAAAUAAAACCCUUUUCGACAACUCCAGGUCUUUGAAAACAGAGAAAAUGGGCUCGGGAGUCACGGUUGAAAAAAGGGAAGGCAAAGGUUCAAUUAUCUCAAAUCUAAGGCACCCUUUCAACCUAGUCUAAGCUAGUUGCGUGGUUUAGUCAAAAUUUUCUUAAUCUAACCCUUAAAUUUAUCACAUUUGGAUGUUUCUUCAAUGGAUGCAAAUCUAAAUUUAUAAAAUAUCAAAAGGGACAAAAUGUUCAUUCAAGGGUUUGAUCGAACCAAUCGCAUUAAUUGCGAAGGCCAAAAUGAUUCCUUGAAAGUGUCACGAGUAUGCGAAUGAUGAAAUUAAAAUAAGAGAAAAGAAAUUAAAUUAUAUACAUAUAUAUAAGUGAUUAAAGAAAAAGGGAAUGCAACAUAAAGGGUACGGGAGAUAAAAACCCGUGACAUGAUUUUCUUAUACAUGGAUUAAUAGGGUAUUUAAACUAAAAAGUUAUAAUCACCCAUUUUCCAUGUUUAAAAAAAAAAUAACUAUCCUAACAUGAACAAGCAAAUGAACUAGCUUAAAUGAGAUGCAAUUCUAAAUGACAUGAUUAGCACCUAUAGAGGGUAGGGGGAUAAUAUAGUAGGGAAUAUCAUACAAAUGAGAAAAGAUCCUAAAAAUGAAAAUAUGCAUGAAAAUGUAGUGAAUAGCACACAAAGAUGAAUCUAGCGCAAGGCGACCUAAUGGGUUUAGCGUUGGACUAGCCCAUCUCUAAAAAUCCUUACUAGCAUUGGACUAGCAAGUAAACGGAGGGAGAAGCCACAACUAGCGUUGGACUAGUGUGGUGGCGUCAUGCAUUAACAAUUCAUAGUGAAACAAAUAAAGCAUAAAUUAAAACAAAUAAACACGUAAGAGCACGUAGCACAUAACACAUAAGCAUAAUAUCUAGAUGCAAAAAUCCUAGGGAAAGCGGAUAAGGCACGUAACACAUAAGCCACAUAAGCACACAACCUAUCUAUUACAUCGGGGAGCGCCUAACUACAAUCUAAAAGGGGAAAUAAAAUAAAACAAAUCUAAUUAUCCUAUCUAUUACAUUUUUGAGGUAUUUAAGUGCCUUUCAAAUAAUUAUAAAAUUAACUAAACAAACAUAAGAAAAUUUAAAUGAACAUUCAAAUCAAAUAAACAAAGCAUAUAAAAAUAUAUAAACAUAUAGGAACACGUAGGAGCACAUAAGAACACGUAAUUGACAUUGAAAUAAUAAUAAUGGGGUACCUCCCUUUUGAAAUGGUGACUAAACGGAGUCAAAUUGCCAUAUUUAUACUCAAAAUGAACAAAAGAAUCAUGGCACCAAUUUAAUUGAAAAAACUAAUAAUAAUAAUGAAAAUUCACCUCAAUAUGUCAAACGUAAAUAAAUUUAAGAAUAUCUAAAAAUUACAAGUUGAACAUACUCAAAAGUAACAUAAUUAACUAUUAAAGAAAAGAAACAAUCAUAAUAAAGAGAGUCAAAAUUCACUAGGAACUGAAUUGCAAAAAUCGAAAAACUUUUGGGGACAAAAAUUAUAUUUUUCAAAGUUUAGAGGUCAAAAUUAAAUGAAAGAUAAAAUUCAGGGACCAAAAUGCAAUUAAUUUAAGGACCUAAGUGAAACAAAAUUAAAAUGUUCUGAGCCACAAUAAAACUACUCCAAAGAUCAGGGGCCAAAGUGCAAAAUUCAGUUUCUGAUUUGGGAGAAGAAAGGCCAUCGGGCCGUCAUUUUUAUUUAUUUGGGCCGGAUACUACCUAAGCCCAACCGAAACCCAAAAGAAACGAGCAGGCCAGCCUGUCUUUUUAUCCCUCAAACCCAACCAAAAAAAACAUGGGCUCCGACCUUCUAACCCAACCAAAAAAUAAGAAACAAGCCCACUAAAAAAACCUACAUUAACUUAGCCCAACCCACUUUCCUUUUCUUUCUCUUUUCUUCCCCAUACGUUUCCUUUCCUUCUUCUUCGGCCAACCGAAGAAGCUUCAGCUGGCAGCCAUGGUGGCCGCCGGUGGCGCCGCCGCCACCGACCGCCACCGCCGGCGACCUUUCCGGUGAUUAAAAUUUCUCAAAAUGCACCUUCCCACUCCAUUUUUCGCGUAGGUUCCAUUUUCGAAGUUAUUUUUUACAAAAAAGGAAAACAAAGUGGUCAAAAUAGCAAAAAUCAGUCUAGUUUUUAUUCUUUUAUAAUCCUUAAACCUUCGCCAAAAAAACAUGAAAAUUAUGCCAAAACCCUCCUUAUAACCUCUACAUUACAACUAUAACCUUAGUUAACAAGAAAACAACAACAAAAUGAUGCAUUAAGUCACAACAGCCCCAAAAAUGAAGAAAAUUAUUCUAAUGCUUUGAAGGCUCAAAACCCCAAAAUUUUGGAUAACCAAGCAUUUUCAGAUCUUUGCUAGCUAAUGGUCUUCCAUUUAAGCAAAACAUACACGCCAAAUUCACUUCUUUGAUUCAUUUUUUCAUUUAGACAUUUUUUCAAACAUUUGGCAUGCAUUCACAGCACCGUUUCUUUUUUCCUAAUUUUGUUCAGUGACCCAUCCCAAAAUUUCAUCCAUACAACACCAACAAAAACCAGCAAAAAUAAGCAAUAAAAAAGGGUAACCACACAUACAUUCAAUCUAGUUAAUUUAAAAAAGAAAAGCUGGAAAAAGGGAGAUAAAUACCUCAAUGAAGAGUUUGGUCCCUUUGCCAAGAUUUUUGAUGAAAUUGCCAAGCUCCAAUCCAACCGAUUGCUGCCUUGUUGUGUGCAAAUGUGUUGGAAAAAAUUUGGGAGAGAGGAGAGCCGAGAGAGAGAGAGAGGAGUUUUUCUCUUUUUUUUUCUUCUUCUUUUUGGUCCAGCCCAGAGAGAGAGCCGAGAGCCUCCCUUUUAUUUUUUGUGUGUUUUUUUUUCUUUUCUCCUUCUUUUCCAGAGAGAGCCGAGAGGGACUUGUAGCAAAAAAUGGAGCUUGUGUGCUGAAUCUUCCAAAAAUGAUGAUUUCUUAGCUAAUGAAAGAAAGGUCCAUGGCAAUUGAGUGUGGAAUGGGUCAAUAGUUGUUUUGGCAGGGAAAAUGAUGAAAGUGAUUUUUUAUUUCUUGAUUUUUCUCUUUUGUUUUGUGUUUUUUUUUUCUUUUUCCAAAAACAAAC